rnacentral:lncRNA from 1 species
AACUAGCACCACUUCGAUCGUCUCCGACGGAAAGAGGAAUUCUAUCCUAGGCAGAAAGAAAAAAAUCGAGCAAGUCGGUAAGAAAUGGAGCAAAGAAAGCGGCUUCAAAAGAAAAGCCCCAGUUAGAGUCCAAAAGGAUACGAGUAACCAAAAGUACGGUGAUACUGAUAAUCACUCGUUUCAAAAGAGAGAAAAAAAAAAUGCUGAAAAAGGUUCGAUUCAUCUUGUGUGAUGGAAAUUCGUAUUCUUCGCGGCUGGUUCUGAACGCCAUCUACUGUGGACUACUGAGAUGCCUUUUAUUAUCAGUAAGGGAAUGACUUUUCACUCUAAAUUCUUAGUUUUACUUAUUUACUUGUUAAUUCUUACUUGAUUCAGUUCAUUUCUUUACAUUUGAUUGCUCUUUAGAUCACAUUUAUAUUGCAUGCUUUAUUUUUUGCAUUUUUAAUUGUUGUGUAGUUUGCUAGUUAGUUAAGUUGCUUUUCCUUUAUUUUCCGUGAAUUUUUGUUGAAUUUUGCAAACAACUCAUUGUUGAAUCUUGCUUUAGUUCAGUUUAAGCUUAUGUUCUUUAGGAAUUUCUAGAUCUACAUUUUCCUUUUAUGAUUUGGUUAAAUUCAGCUUUAAAGUAAUUUCUGUUUAGAGAAAUGUUAGUUCCUUCAUACGAUUUUUAUGGAAUUUUUUAUCUUCUCUUUACUUUCUUAUAUUGUUCCUUAGUUAAACUUAAUUUCCAGCUCAUGUUUAGUUCAAAUUACAUCAAUGAGAUCUAGAUUAGUAGCUUCAAACUCAAUUUACAAAAUUUUUGCUAGUUUUGGUUUUAACUUUCUUUCAUUGAUUCUUGCAAUUCUUCUUUAGUUCUUGUUUCAAUUUUGUUUUUCUUAUAAUUCUUUUAAUGAUCUUUUAUUUCCAGUUUAUAAUCCUUUAGUUUUAUACAAUUUAAAAUUAGACUUUUAGCUAGAAGUCAUAGGUUUUAAGUUGCAUUCAUGUUCAACUUUCAAAGAUUUAGCUAGACCUGGUGAUUUAUGUAUUAAUGUCAUGUAAAAUAUUAUAUUUUGUGUAUUUGUACCGUGAUUUACAUGAAAUUAUAUGUCAUAAUUCGUGUUGACACAAAAACAUAAAAUAUAUUUCUUUAUUUUGUUAAACUUAAAUAUAAUUAUUGCUAAAAUUUUAAGUUGUGUUAUCUUCAUGUCCUAUAUUCGUAUCAUAUUAAUGUUGUAUUUUAGAUUGUCAGGUCUAGAUUUAGCUCAGAUUUAUAAUUUUUUUUUUCAUUAAGAGCACUGUAAUGUUGUUUCUUCUUUAGUUCAUUUGCUAUUUUUUCACUUUACCAUUCCAUUUCAUACAAACUGAAGUACAUUUGUUUUCAAUUUUUGUUAACUCUCGAUUUUUCUAGAUUUGCAAGCUUUUAUUCAGUUUUUGCACAUCCUUUGAGUUGUGUAAUUUUGCUACUUAAAUUUUCAUCUAAAAUUUGUUUUUACUUAGAUUUAGAUACUGUCAUUACAAUUUGCAUCUUAUUUAGUCUAAUCCUUUAGUAUUUUCUUAGUUGAAAGUUGGAGUUAGUUAAGGUAGUUAGUGUUUGGUUAUUAGUUAAUUUGGUUAUGUUUCCCUUAGUUUCUAUUUUUGUUUCAUUUUUUACUUACUAUUUUCAAUUCUUAGUUUAGAAUUACAUUUUAAUUCAUGAUUAUUUUGUGAUUGAACCAAAUUUAGAUAGGAUAUGGAGAUAAUAGGUACUUAAGCUAGGACUUUCUUUAAUUAAACCUUGUGGGAUCGACAUCUAUGCUUUUUAGCUUCCAUUAUUACCUAAACAGAUUGUGCGCUUGCAAAAUUUUUCCAAUCAAUUAUCAUGGUUUGAACAUUGAGUAUGGUUUAGUGUCUACUCAAUAUUAUCCAACUAUGUUAAGUCUUAUAUUUGACAUUAACUCAAAAAUAAGCUUUAGAAUAAUUUUAACUCUUAUUUUACUUUGGCCAAAGAUUUUUUAAGUUAAUUCAAUCAAGACUAGUUGAGAUACUCUCUUGAUCACACAAGGUGAUGAAUCCCAUAUUGAUUACUUCAUAGAUCUUCAUAUGCCUUAUGUUAUACCCAACAAUACUUUACUAGAGCAUUCUUGAUUAUAACCACAAGUAAAGUAAAAUCAAAGUAUAACAUUUAUUAUAUAAGAUUAUAAGUAAUCUCAAGUCAAAAGAUCACUUAUACAACCAUCAUAUGAGAAUGUAGCUAUAAAAAUUAUGUGAACUAUCAUAUAGCAUUAUAUUAUCAGGUCAUGUUCAGUGAACUUGUUCUUGUAACAAACAUCUACAUGUUAGCUCAAGUUUAUCCAAAACUUUUACUUACGAGAUUAUUUGCUUGCUUCAUAAGCAAAUAUAUAAUCAUGUGCUAGUGCUAAUAGCUUUUGUCAAUAUCCUUUUAUUGACAAAGCAUCGACUAGGAACUAAUUUUGGAACAUAUAGCUUUUAUGCAAUGACGAUAUAACAAUUACUAUUUCAUUGUAAUUCUCUUACAAAAUUUUAUUUAUAUUUCAAGGAUUUUGUUAUGUAAGCAUCGACAUUAAAAAUAUAUGUAAACAAGCUCAUGAUAAAUAAAUAAGACUUUUUAUAAGAUAUCAAAUAUCAAAAUACUAUAAAUAUGACAAUGUCUUGGCAAAAAUAUGAUUUGGCUUAAAGGUUAAAUACCAACAAUAGUAACAGUAAUGGUACAAUGAUAUUUGCCUUACCAAUUCUUUCCUAUAGAAAUCUCAUAAGUGAAAUAUGAUGGACAUGUAACUACUGUAAAAGUUGGAUCUUUAAUAAAAAUUAGAGUUCAACAUCCCUGACAUCAUGCUUCUCUGACUUGUAAUUUCUCCAAAUUUUCUUAUUAAUCCCUUGAAACUAAGAUUUCUACAUGGAAACAUCACGAGCUAGAUUGAAACUCAAUAGAUGAGAGUCCUCAAAAGAAAGUCUUAUCUUACCAAACAUUUUUGGACUCUACCUUUUUAUUCAUAAGCAUGCAAAGUAGGAAGAAAAUCUAUGAAAUUAGGAUAAUCAAAAUUUCUUCUAACACCUUUCCCAUUCCUCUAUAUUCAGAGACGAAGUCAGGGAUGGGCCAAUGUUGAUUUUUUCUUUUUUUUCCUACUUGUUGAAGCCUCAUUAAGGAGCUUAACGAAUAGGUAAUAAUCAUAUUUAGGGAUGGAAACCAACUUCUUGGUUUGCUUCCUUCAUUAAAAUUUCAAGAUGCCUAAUCAGCUCAAAGAAACAUGUCAUCAUCAAGAAGCUCAAAACCAUAAAAAUCCUACAAAAUGACACAAACUCCUAAAACCCCAAAAACUAUGAAAAAACUUACAAAUUACUCUCUCGAUAUCCCUCGAUGUUUCCUUCACUUUUUUUAGUGGAACUUUCAAUGACAACAUUUCUUUUUAGGGCCAUUUGUCUCUUUUUCACAAAUUCACACCCAAACAACACAGAACAUCAAAACAGCAAGCCUUUUCUAGAGGAAGUAAGAAAAAUUGAAAAACUAGGGAACCCCACAUCUCCUAUUUAUACCCAACCAAGGGGUGAAAGUGAAAAGAUACAUCCUUAGAUCAUUUCAACUAGAUCUUGAAUGGUGUAAAGAUUUAAUCCCAUUGAUACCUCCCCAACCACUCUUUCAAAAUUAGUGCAAAAAUUAAUUCCCUUUUAAAAUCUUUUCACCUACCCCCUUAAAAUUGGUGCAUUUUGAAAAAUGCAUUCAUCAAAUGCUCUUAAAAGUGGUGCACUUUGGAAAAUUGCACCCAUUAAAUGUAUUUGACAGCUCUUCAUUAAAAUCAUAACAUAUAAUUUGUCUAGUUGCUUUUCUCAGUAGUACAUGCACGUGCACCACACCAUCCCACUACACACAUUCUUAUCAUGUGUGCUCCAUAGAUAGUAUAAAGUUUUUGCAAAAUUUUUUCUAAGUCCUCACUUGCUGCUCCCUAUGGUUCUACCAACUUCUAAGCUUGCCUAAAAAAAAUCACUGCAUCUUAGCAUGACACAUCAAUAGCCAAGUUUACCCAAAGCACUUGUCUCACCCAUAGGGAACACUUUAGCACAUUUGUUUGUCAAAGACGCUCACCUUGUCUCAAAAGGACAUGUCAUAUGCCAAAUUCACCAAGCUAUAAAGACCUUCGCCAAAGUAUCUUUCCUUUUAUUGCCUCUUCUUUUCUUUUUAGGCUUUGGAAUACGGUUUGAGGACAAACACUUUAUAACCCCUCAAACCUAGAAGCCAAUUGUUACACCUAAGUUAACUAGUUAAUGAUCAAAGCUAGGUCAAUGUAGCUAUGCUUUUAAGUCGCCCAAAUAGCCACAUCAUUUGCCCCCAAGAAAAAGGUUCACCCAUUACUAAAGGAAAGACUCACCCAGGGUCCCAUAGACAUCUAAUCAAGGUAGCUACUUUAAAACUGACCACCCAGCAUUCAACUCGGUUAGGAUCAUUAAAUGCAACCCAUGCCUACCUAGGAUCAUUAAAUGCAACUAGUAGUCACCCACGUGGACCCUUCUUAAGCUCUACGCAAACAUCUUAUUAACCGUCAACUGUCUUAGUCAAGUCAACGCCACUCGAUCUCAGAUAUAAGGUUAUUGGAAGACCAAGUACGAAGAAACAAGUAAGAACACCUAAUCCUAAAACAUUAUGGGUUUUCUCUCUAUCAAAGCUUAACACUCAUGCCUCACCAUCUUCAUCUUCUUUGCUUCCUUAUCAAAUCUCAAGUAUCUUACUGACUUGAGUGUCGAAGCAUGUCUCGGAGUAAUAACUCUGGUACCCCUAACUGCUUUCUUUGACUGCAGGUCAUAACUGUCCUUUCCUCCAUCUCAACUCCUCCCUUCUAGCUAAAAUAUUCAAAAACACCAUCAACAUUCUUCAAUGGAAUUUGACUUCUUCUCUUAGUUUUUGAACUUGUUUGUGCAAAGAAAGUCUCGGUUCUGCCUUUGAUAAACAGAAUAUAAUUAUGUUUUGAACUCUAUUACACCCGAACCAGGAAUUCUUUUAGCCCUUGAAAAUUUCAUGUAAUUUUUUGCCUAAACCGUGACUUCCUUCAUCAAAAAUCAAAUUCACUUUUGAAUUCUUCAUGCAAAAUAUUAAAAUUCCAUUCAGCCUUAAAUUCACGUUAGUUCAAGGCAGAAAAGGGGAUAACAAAGUCGGUUUAGGCUGUUUUAAUUCAAGUAAAAUUUUAAAAUCCCUCUCGCCAUGUCAGCUUGCCAAGUCAGUAUCCUGUCAGUUCCUCUAUCCAAUUAAAAUUUAUCCACUGGAUGUGUACCUACAAAGAAUACCAUGCUCUCGCACCAAAAAUACUGGUUUUAAAAAUUUUGUCUACUGUAAACCAAACACUGCCUUGAUUGUCUUUAAAUUUUUGCAUAGGUUGCAUGUCAUUAAAUUGCAUGAAAGAUCAAAACAUUCUUCAACUGCAGUACUGCCGAAUUCUGCCUGCAAUUUUUCUGCCAGUUUUCUUCUUAAUUCAACUCCAAAAUAGCUUACAUAAAUUCUGGACAGCUUCACAACAUUCCUCAACCGGUUCAGCCAGCUUUCUUGGACAAAUCUCACAUAUUUUUCUCAAAAAUCAGUCAAAUAGCUUCAAAUUUUUAACUUUUCAUCUUUUAUUCAAAAUUUCUUAUACAUGAACAAUUUGAGCAAAUUAAGAAGAAAAAAUAAAUUAUUUUACCAAUAAUAAAACAAAAUUCAUGUCACUCUAUUUUAUAGAGGUAUCCACUCCUUCCCUUUAUCCACAUUAUAUCAUGUGUUUCCAUCACAUACAUAAUACAUACAUAUAUAAGGUAAGUCCAAAUUGACUCAUUGGUAUUUUGGUGCAUCAUGCCAAGAUAAUUUUAUGUCUACAACAAGUGGUGCUUAAACACAUUCCUUUACAAGACUUUCAAUUUAAUACAUAAAGAAUUACAAUCCUUUUACCCUAAUAAUCCUAAUACAUCACUUUUAAUAAAAUAACAAAGUAAAUAAGAAGGUCACGCCAUUAUUGUGUCAAAAUAAACAAACAAUGCACCCAUGAAUAUCACAAAAUACCAAAACAUAUAUGCAUUCAAUCACAUACAUCACUCAAAUUUAGUCAUUAUUUAAUGGAAAUUGCCACAUUCAUUUUCUAAGAGAAUGAAGAUUAGAUCCAUAGUAGCCUAGGUAAUGUAUAUGUGCUUCAUUUAAGUUAGAAACAGUAAUUUCACUAUUAAAUAAAAUAAUCAUGGCUUGUGAUGUAAAAUACAUAAAUGACAUGGAUGAAAAUAUAUUCUAGAUAUUCAUGCCAAAGUUACCAAUAAUUAGGCCAAAAAAAUUAUAAGCUCAACUAAUUAAUUUUAAUAAAUAAAUUAAUUAAGCAUAUAGCACCAUAGAGUACUCCACAUUCAUAGAAAGCUGAAACUACAUUCCAUUCACUAAAAUUAUUCAUACACAUGUUUCAAAGUGUGAGUGAAUUUUAAACAAUAGAAUUAUAUGAUUUUUCAUAAGAAAAAUCACAAAAAGAAAAAAAAACUUUCGUAAUUUCUAUAAAUUUCAAAAAAUAAUUCAAGUCCUAAAUUUUUAGUGAAUAUCCAAAAAUUAAACAAAAAAUUUUUCUUUUGUUGACAAACAAGAGAGAAUUUAAAAGAAAACCUUUUCAUCCAAUGUGAUUGAGAUUACCUAUUAUUAUUUUUCAUAGGUAUACAUGUCUAUUUAUAUAAUACAUAUUUCAAUUCUAUUGUCAUAUUAAAAAAAUUUAAUAGUCUCUAUCUAGAUUUAUAGUAAAUUUGAGUCAAUCCAACUCCAUGUAUAUAUUCCAACAUUGUUGACACUAUGAAAAUAAUUCGAUAAUGUAAUGAAAAAGAUACUCAUUUUCAUUUUCGAAUUUUGAUGAUUAUUUGUCUCUCAUUGACUUUCAUAAUUUUUUUUAAAAGACUUGAUUUUACGGUAAUUGAUAUUAAAUAUAACGUCCCCUCAUUUGUAAUAAAAAAAAGUUGCAUUAAGUGUUAAAAGAAAGAAAAAUAAUAAUUUUUAAGCACAAAAAAGUUAAAAAUAAUAAAACGAAAAAAAAGAAGCAUCAAGAAACCGCUAACGGCUAGUCGAGUAGAAGGACCCUCCAACGGUCACUAAGUAGGCGUGGACCAAAUCAAAUUAAUUAUCAAUUAUUUUAUAAUAAAAUGCAAAAUUUGAGCAAAAAGCUGUAGACUUUUUGUCCGACGUCCCGACACGGUUAGCCGGUGAUUGCUUACAUAACACUUCCAUUUAAAAAGAAAAAGAAAAAAAAAAAAAAAAACUAAAAAGGGCCCGCUCUCUCCUCAAGAGAAAGAUCCCUUCCCUACGUACCCUUGCUUCCUUCUAUAAUUUCAAACGUUGCCCUUCUUCUUUGCUUUAAUUUUUAAUUUUUAAUUUUUUUCUUUAAUUCACCUAAAAGCCAAAAACACAUUAGAGGCUUUCAAUCGUUGAAAGAAAUAUCAGAAAAUCAGACAGGUCCAGUUACUGUCUGAGAGGAUUUUAUACCACGCGCAUUUGAAAAUGUGAAGGUCACAUGCAGAGUGUGGAAAGGGCUUGGCUUGAUCCUGACUCCUGACGGGGCGCGUGAAUCGAAGUCAUUUACUCGAAGCCCAUAGAUACUCAUGUUGUGCAUCUGGUCAUGGUUAAUAAAACGUUACUAUGCGUGUUUCUUUUUGAAAUAAUAAAUAAAUAAAUAUAUAAAUCAAUCAAUAAAAUAAAAAUAAAAACUCUCCUCAAAAUCAACCAAUCAAUUAUUCCAAGGGGAAAGAGAGAUCGCUUUCUCAGUCUGUGUGCAACAUCGUUUGAAAGAAAAGCCUAAGGUAAUUUCACAUCUCAUCUAGUGUGGGUUUGUGUUUCUUGCCAUCAGAAAAUCUGGGUCGACUCUCAUAAUCUUGCGUGAUCUGAGAUUCUUUUUCCUUUUUUUUUUUUUCAUGGUUUAAUGAAUAUUCCUUUAUGUAAAUUUUUUGUUUAAAAAAAUAACAAUAAUAAUCGAUUCCUUUUCUUCUUAAAUGACUAUGCUUUCUUGGUGAAAUGGGAAUGUGAGAUGCUUUUCUUCGUUGAAUUUGUAUGGGUUUCCUUUUGCUGGUUUAUAUUUUUAUUUCAAUAUCGGGAGCAGUACUUUGCUUAUUGAGUUUUGAUAAGACUAGAUUAGGUUUGUUUUGCAAAUGCACCGCUUGGGUUGAAAUUAGUUUCUCUUUUGGCCGAAAUUAGUUUCUCUCUUUUGGCCGAUGCUCAUAGUUUUGAGUUGCUCUUCAAUGUAAAUGCAUGUUUCGCAUAGAUAUGUGUGUGCUGUUAUUGUUCUAUGAGGUUUUUGUCGAAGCUCGACUUCCACAUGUUACUUUACAACAUUUGCGAUCUAUAAACUGCAUUUCCAAAUUAAACUUUAACCAGCUUAAUUGAAACACAACUUCAUUGCCAAAAAAAAGUUAUACCAAACAUGGUGUAAAGCCACUUGGUAGAGGUGUAAUUUGUGAAUAAUAUUGUCUUGCUCAAACUAUUGUGGCUUUAGAUAGCUUCGAGUUUCUCCUAUAAUAAACAGAUGGAAAUAUAAAAACUAAUUAAUGAAAUUAGAUUACAUAGAUAAGACAUAAGAGAUUAAUAUGUAGUUUUUAGAAACUUAUAGUCCGCAUUGAUUGCAAUGUGUUCCAUGAGUCAUUAGUCUCAUAUGAAUUAUUGGGUUCAAUCAUCUGUAUCUUAUUUAUAUGCAUAUAUGUUUGUGGGUGCAUCUUCGACAUUUAUACUUUUGAUUUAUAAAGUGAAAAUUCACAGGGUUGACUCUUUAUCCUCUCUGCUACUUAUGCCUGCUACUUUUGAAAAAACCACUCUUUUUUUUUUUGGGUUUCAUUUUAAAUAUAAAGUGUUAAUUCUGUUCAUUUUUUUGGUUUUUUGUGUCUUUUUUGGCAGUGCUGAAUUUUCACUGUAAAUAAGUGCCAAAGGUGCUGAUCUUUUGGGACGUGUCUUGCUGAGGUUCUGAGUCUUUUCUCAAGGAUUCUUUUUCUUCCCUUAGGAUGGUAAUUUUAUUCCGUUUACAUAACAACGUCUAUAUCUGCUAAUUGUUGUGGAAAUUAACAAAUUUUUUGUUCAAUUGUUAGUUACUUGUCCCCAUUUAUCCUAGUUAGUGAAGAAAGUUUUAGGUAUAUAGUUCCAGAAUAAUAGUGCUUUAAGCUGUUUAUGGUGUUAAAGAAAGAAAAAGAAAGGUCCAUUAUAUAUAUGGUACGGAAUUUCCAAUAAUUUGUCAUGUGAGGUCUUUAUUUGACCUGUAAGGAAUCACGUUUCUUAUAUUGUUCUAUUGUGUUGUGUUAGGCAACUAAUGAAAAUUUUCCACCAAACGUAAUAAAGCAACUGGCAAAGGAAUUGAAGAGUCUUGAUGAAUCCCCACCGGAAGGCAUUAAAGUCGGAGUAAAUGAUGAUGAUUUUUCAAUCAUUUAUGCUGACAUUGAAGGGCCAGGCACGCAAUUCUUUCCAAACAAAUUUACUUUGUGGCACACUUGUUUCUUUUCCGUACUGAGGAUAUUUUUACUUUGCAGCUGGGACUCCUUAUGAAAAUGGUGUUUUCCGUAUGAAGUUGUUACUGUCUCAUGAUUUUCCUCAAUCUCCUCCAAAAGGUAUGUUUAAUAGGUUACAAUAAUCCAGACAUAAUUAGAUUUCAAUGGUGCUAUGAUCUAAGAAAAUGUAGAACCUGGAUCAUAUCAGGCUUCUCAAGUAUACAUUACAAGAAAACGGACAAUUAACUAAUAAUAUUUUUACGGUCAUGGCGUGCAAUUUUGUUUUGCAUUUUAAGCCACUCAUCCUGUAUUUGAAUCUCCAAAUUUUAUGGUUAUACUAUAAUGCCAAAAAAUAUAUAUUAUUUUGUGCAUUAGUGAAUAUUCUGAAAUCUUAACAUCUAUACUGCAGGCUACUUUCUGACAAAGAUUUUUCAUCCAAAUAUUGCAACCAAUGGUGAAAUUUGUGUGAACACACUUAAAAAGGAUUGGAAUCCAAGUCUAGGAUUACGACAUGUACUCAUUGUAAGUUCCAUUGGACCCAGACCAUUCUAUAUCCAAUAUUUAUCAGUUUGUUUGAUAAGAACUGCCUCUGUACUGCCCAUUUUCUUUUGGUAGUUCAGCUAUAGAUCUUUGGUUUCAUGUUUUUUAUCUUCCUUAACACUGGACUUUGUGACUGCAGGUAGUUAGGUGCUUAUUGAUUGAGCCAUUUCCAGAAUCAGCUUUAAAUGAACAGGCAGGCAAAAUGCUGCUUGAAAAUUAUGAUGAGUACGCCAGGCAUGCCAGGUGAGGCUUGCCAAACAACAUUAUUUACUAAUAUUUUUUGAUGUGGAAACCUAGAACCUUACAUUGAGCGUGUCUGAAACAGGACAAACACUGUUGUUUUCUGUUUUUGGUUAGAAACUAUGCACAUUUCCACUGUCUCAUGGUUUGUCAAAUUCCUUAAGAUGGAAGGGGAUAAAAACGUCAAUUCUAGGCCAAUUCCAACUGCCCUAUUGGUGUCUUAGUUGCUCAUAAGUUCAUUAUGGUUUUGCCUUCAGUAUUAUCAUUUUGGUCAUUUGACUUUCAAGAUUUCAAGUGUUGUAGUCCGUCAUGCCUUAUAGAUUUGAUACUAUGUAGAGAAGUUAUUGUUUUGUAAACUGAUCUGUUGCAAUUGAAAUAGCAAGGUCCAAAGAUAGUAUGACUGCUACACUCUAAAGAAAUCAAAUUGGAAUUGCGCACAACCAUGAAGGUCUCACAAAUGUGUUUUCUGUUCUUAACACAGGCUUUAUACAGGAAUUCAUGCGAAGACAAAACCUAAGUUCAAGUCAGGAGCUAUUUGUGAGUCAACUACAGCAUUGAAUGUUGACCAGUCUAAGACCUCGGUUCUCAAUGUUGACCAAAAAAAUGCAGCAAGUGGAGCAGCAUUAUCAUUGCCAUCUCCUCUGGCCCUGCCCACCACAGCGACAAAAGGAGGCCACAACCAGGAGCCGCAGUCUUCAGUUCCAACAACUGAAACAGGAGUGAGUGGAACUGCCCUCGUAGGAAUAGCAGGCACUGCUCUUAAGAAGGAAGGUUUGACAAAAGUUCCGGCCCUUCUGGCAGGCAAGAAGAAAAUGGAUGCUAGAAAGAAAAGUCUGAAGAGAUUAUAAAAUCAGAGGAUAAAAUAAUUAAAUGUUGGUUUUUGGAAUAUGGAACUAACGUAAAGUAACGGUUGGGAAAUCGGUUGCUUUUCGGUGUAAUGGAUGCUUUAGUUUGGGAAGGUGAUGCAUCAAAGUUGCCUGUUUACGUUGUUUUCUGUCUCAUUUGAUCAUAUUAUGGUUUUUCUUUUUUUUUUUCUUUAGGGGUGGGGUGAGAUACAAGUUUCACGUUGAGGUGUCAAAUGGUCGGCAGUUCAUGAUCCGAUUCGCUAUGAUAUAGAUUUUUUUUGGUACGAUUCGUUUUUAAGUAAUCGACUUAAGUCAAACAUAAUAUAUAUAUAUAUAUAUAUAUAUAUAUAGUGUUGGGUUAAAAGAUUUUAAAUUCAUUGAUCAACGUGGCACAAGCCAUUAAAAGAUAAAAAGAUAGUGUCAUUGACAUGCAGUCGUUACUUUUUUUACACAAAAUCAGUUUGUUAGAAUAUGCAAUGCAUCUUAUUUAUUUUUUAACGAUAUUAGGUGUGAUUUUUUUUUUCUAUCCAAUCUCGUUUUCAUGGUUGUCAUCUUAUUUAUUAAAUUAUUUGGUUGAUCUUUAUUGAAAUAUUUAAUGUAAAAUCAAAAUAAUCAAGGAUUGAUUUGAUAUCACUUAUAAUAUCAUCGUUACUUUAAAAAAAAAAAAAACUUAAUACGGUAACCAACAUUUAUUUGUGCAGUACCUUUCUUUUUUUUUAUCUGACUUAGGAUUAAUGUAUUUUGCUUACCUUUUAAAAGCACUAGGCGUGACACCAACACGCCGCACAUAAACUAGGCACGGCAAACAAAUUUUAAUGACGUAGAAAUAGCACGACGCAACACGCAAUCUCAAAAUGAACCGAAUUCAUGGUAUUUCAGGAAUUAUCUUACGUCAGGCUGUAUCGAUGCUCUUAACAAAAUUUUGCUUUUUCUGGGCUGUUGGCUACAUAAACAGAGUAUAUAAAUCUACACAUAAAAAUGAAAAAAUUGAAAGAAAAUUGUAAGCACAAAAAACAAAAUCCUUAUUACUCUCUUAAUUGAGUUCCAACAACUUUUACUCCUGUCCUAUUGUUUUGAAAGUAUUGAAACAAAAAUAUAAUUAUAACCAAACAUGUUUUCAGUUUUAAUAAAUUAAAAAUAAAACAAAACAAAAAUUUGUGAAAAAAUAAACAUAAAACAAAAAAUUGCUAAUAAUAACAAAUUACUGUACGUAGGUAUACGGUAGUGAUGAGAAAGCCUUUCUUUUCUUUUCUUUUUUUUUUUUUUUCCUUUAAGAAACGCCUGUCUUUUACAAACACUUAAAUUUUUUCCUUUAUACAGGUUUUUUUUUAGGUCAUGCUAUUAAUUGAUUUAUUGUUUAAUAUAUAAGAGGUCACAAUCUAAAAUUAAUAGGAUAAAUUUUAAAUUAUUGAGAUUCAAACUUUUGACUUAUUAAAUAUUACCUUUUAAGAGUAAAUAUGGGAAUCAGUUCAAUUAAAUUCGUAUUUUAAUUUAUUUAUUAGAAAAUUUCAAUAACCAUAAUUUAAACAAACCAAAUUAAAUUUAUAAUCCAAAUGAUUUAAGAUCCAUACCUUAUCUUAUCUUGGCGCUUUUACGUAUCAGCUAUGUUUCGCUAAGGCAGCUACAAUUGCUUUAACUCAUCUCAUGGUCCCGGCUAUUUCAUAAACAUUUUAUAGCUAACUCAUCUCUAGAGUAAAUUAAACAGUUGAAUUGAACAAAAAAUUAAGAAUAAAACGAUGGAUCUUUUUGCCAAGUCAAUAGUAAAUUUUAUUAAGAAGGGGGGGGGGGGGGGACAGAGGAAACAAAACCAUUUGCAACUUAGUACAACUGAAAUAGCAUCGUCUCAUGAACUGCAAAGGCCCUGGAAACAUUCAAAAAGAAAGAGAAACCACCUCAAACUAAGCUCAAAACUUGAUUCAAAAUGUUACUUAAACUUUUCACGAGUCUUUGGGACAAAUCUUCUUAUUUUGGAAACUCUCCAAAGCAAAGUCCAACUGAUUGAGAAUUUGCAAACGUACAUAUCAUACAAAUAAUAAAGAAAAGCUCAUUCCCAUGGAGAUUAUUAUAUUGAGAGUAACAGAUACCAAAAUUAUAUAACCCUACCUUAUAUUUGGAUAAUUCGAAUAAGAUAUGCAAAACCAAAAUAUAAACUAAGCAAACCUAAACUAAUGUAAACCAAAAAGAACUAAAAGAAACAAACAAUGUAAAUAAAAUUAAACCGAAUCUAAACUACCUGAAAGCAAUUAAUAUGAAAUUAACACGCAAAUAACCUAAUUCAAUUAAACAUGCAAGUAUGCUUGAACGUGCAAACCUAAUCAAAAUAACAAGAAUUGAAAGCAAUAUAGACUAAUUAUGCAUAAAUCAAAUAUGAUCUAAGCUAAAUAAACACAAUCACAUGCAAAGAAAGUAUAAAUCACAUGCAAGACUAAUGAAUUUAAACUUACCAAACCAAAUUAAAGCCAAUUAACCGCAAAGGAUUGAACUUUAACUACCCCUAAUUAACUUUUAAGACAUGCAAACAAGCUAUUAUUAAACUUAAAUUAACCUAGGAACAUGCAAUUAGACCUAAACAAAUCAAAUCAAACCAAGAUUGAACCAAAUUAUGCAAACCAAAUGCUAUUAACCCUAAUCACAUGCAAUUCAUGCAAGAACUAAUCAAUAACCAACUAUUAACUGAAUCAAGUAACAUAUAGUAAACUCAAAGAUAAAUCGAAAUCAACCUAUACUAUGACCUGAAAUCGAUAUAAUUAGGAAAGCAUGCAAACCUAAAUUAAUCAUGCAAUAGAAUAUGCAACUAAAACAAUUUUAAACCUAAUCAUGCAAACCAUGCAAACAUGAACCAAUAUUAAACUUUAAAACAUUAACCGAGUGCUUUAAUAUAAAUGAAACUUGCAAUUAAAAGAAUGAGAUGAAAAUAGAAUGUAAAUCGCAAUAAUGAAGCCAGAAUUAUGGAAGAAUGCAACUUGCAUUAAGCAAUAAUCAAAAUCGAAAUCAAUUGUAAAUCAAGAACCACAAACCGAAAUUGUUUUAACCAAGAUAACAAAUUAGAAAUUAAAUCCACUAGAAACUGAAUGUAAAAUUUCUCAAAUAAAACUUUAUUGAAUUGAAAACUUUAAAGAAAGUUGCAUAAACUGAAAUUGAAAAGAACAGAAAAUUGAAAGAACAAACAAAACUUUAAACAAAAUGAAGAACAAGAAAUUUAAAGCAUGCUAAAGAAAGCUAUGGUUAGUCUGUCAUUCCAACCACUUACACACCUUCCUAAGAUCUAAAACAAGUAUUUAUGGACUAAAGAAUCCAAUAGUGUUUGGCUGAAUUUGAACUCUCCCUUGGCAGCUCACAAGUUUGGUUAAAAAAGGAAUUCUUGAUGAGAAAAAUUCUUUUGAAGCACUAAAAGAAAAUGAAAAAUUAGUUGCAGUUUUUUAGCAGCGUUUCACUUUAAAACACUGCUAACUUUCGUGUUUUUUAAAGGUCGCAACAUUUUUUAUCAAAAUGUCACUAAAUAUUUAAAUAGCAGCAUUUGUACUGACAAACGCCAUUAAAGAUAGAAAUUAGCAGCGUUUAGCCACUAAAAUGUCGCAAAAUAAAAUACAAGAAUUAAUUAAAUAUAAAUAUAAUUUUUUUGUGGUGUUUUUAUAAGAAAUGCCAUUUUAUUUUGGAUCUAGACUAAAAAUGCAAAAUUUAAAAAUUUUAGUGAUGUUUUAGUUAAUAAACACCGCUAUUAAAAAAAUAGUGGCAUUUUUUUUAAAUAAACGCCAUUGAUUUUCCUCCAAAAUUGAAACCACGCCUUUUUUCCCCAAAAUUCUCUGUGCUCAAUUUUCUUUCAUUUCCCAUGCCUUUUUCUUCUUUAACCCAUUCUCACCGCUAUUAUCAUGAUUCUUCUGCCUCUUCUUUGUCUUAUUUUAAAGCCGACAAUGCCUUUAAGCUGCCAUGGUGGCUUUAAAAAAAAAAGCAUUUAAUUACAAAAAUCGUUGCCCUCGAUGGUUAAUCCGAUGGAAAAAGCUCUCUCCUUGAAGCUUUACUUGGAUUUUGUUUCAAUGUGUGUAAAGUCAAGAUAGGUACUCGUUGACCUUUCAUUUUGUAGAUGGUUCAUGACCUUUCUACCCUUGAGCCUCGUUGUUGCUUUUAGGUGGUUUGUUCUUUUUUUUUUUUGAGUGAAUUUUUUUUUUUUUUUUUUUUUUGCUUUGUUUGGUUUUAGUUUAAUGCAUUUUAAGGAUUUUUUUUUGGUUUUUUAUUUUUCUAUUUCUUUUGAAAGUUUUGUGCUAAUGUUAUUAUUUGCUAAAAUAAGGUUUUUAUUUGGGUGUAUAGGUUGUCAUAUGAAAAAAAUAAAAAUUAGACUUGGAUUGUUUGAAAUCUUGUAAUAUAAUAAUUUAUUUAUGAAUCAAACACUACAAGAAAAGUGAUUUUUAGGAACCAUAUUUUGCAACAACACGAAAAAUCGUUGUGAUAUAUUUGUGUAUUUACAAUGACAUUUUAUAAUUGUUGCUAAAUUGAAUUUUUAAAUAUUUUAUACAAUGAUAAAAUUUAUCAUUGUGAAUUUAUCUACUAUUCGUAGCAACAACAAAAAGUUGUUGCGAAACCUUAUUUUAUUUGCAACGAUUUUUCGAAGUCAUUGGUUAAGUUACUUUUAAAUCUUUUAUGCAACAACAAAAAAUUUAUUACGAAAAAUUUUAUUAUAUUUUAAUGAUAACAAAAAAUUGUUGCGAAUACUUUUUUUAUUUGAAAUGAUUUUUUAAAGUCGUUGCUUUAACUAUGUUUUAUUAUUUUAUACAACGACAAACAAAGUUGUUACAAAAAAUUUUAUAUUGUAACAACAAAAACAAAGUUGUUGCAUAAAACUUGUUUAAUUUUGAAACCAUUUUUUAAUGUCUUUACUUAAGUUAUUUCUUAAUAUUUUAUAUAAUGAUAAAAAUUGUUAUUACAAAAACUUUUAUUAUAUUUGUAACAUAAAAACUUAUUGUUGCAAAAACUUAUUUUAUUUAUAAUGAAUUUUCAAUGUCGUCUCCUUUUUAUAAUAUUUUAUACAACAAUGAAAAAUUUGUUGCAAAAACUUUUAUUAUAUUUAUAACGAUAUUUAUUUGUUUUCGAGUCUUUGAAUGAUCAAUUGAAAGCAUCUUUUUGAACUCAUAAAAUUAAUUGGACAAUGCAAACUAUAUAUGUUUUUUAUAGUGAGACGGAAAAAAAAAAGAUUUAAAGUCUAAACAUAGAAUCAAUGGUAAUCUAUUAUCAAUGUAAUUUUAUGCUCUUCUUAGUAUUAGUAUUUCUUUUCUAGAAAUUUGUUUGGAUUAGUAUUAUUAAAUUAAAAUUAUGAUUAAUACAAAUGAAAUAAAAAUAAGCAAUAAGUCAACUCUUUUUCAAUUAGCAUGGAUAAAAAAAUAGAAAAAAGAUAUUCAUGGCUAAAGACAAAUUUUAUUUACUUCAUUUAAUAAUUUAAAAUGAUUACUUUUUUGAAAUUAACCAAAUAAAAACAUGACUAAAGACAAAGUUAAGCUUAUUUAUUUCCUUUAUAGUGCCAGCCACAAGGUACGAUGAGUGUUUUUUUAAAGUAAGUUUGAAAUUUUAUUUCUUUUGGUACUUUUAAAUUUCACAUGAAAUAGAUUGUUGACUUGAAUUUUGAAGGAGGAAGAGUCUCAAAUGGGUUGGAGAUUUUUUAUGGAACCUGAUAAAUUUUGGUGUCAAAUCAUGUAGAAAAAUGAAAUUUUAUUGUAACAAGGAAUGUUGUGAUAUAGAGUACUGGUAGGUGAUUAAUUUAAAGUAUUCAGAUACUACAUUAGAGAUUUUUAAAGUUCAAGUAUCACAUUAAAAUUUUACUAUAAUUUAAAAGUCAUUUAUGACAUUAAUCCAAGAUAAAAUAAUACAAGACACUUAGGAUGUGUUUGGUACAAAAGAUUAUGACAAAAUAGAAUAACAUGAUAUUAUCAAUAAGUUUAGAUUAAAUAACGUCAUUAUAUAUUGAGUUUUAUGUGUGCAAAGAUUAAAAUAUGAUAAUUUAUUUAUUGGUCAAAAUUAUUCCUCUUUAAAAUUUAUACAAUUUAAAUUAUUGAUGUAAUUUUUAAGGAUAUAAUAUUACAUAUAAGUUCUUACAUGUCCUAUUAUAAUAUCAUUUAUAAUAUAUGUUUGGUACAUAAAAUUAUUAUAGGAUAGGAUAGGAUAUGAUAGGAUGAUGUUAUUUAAUUUAAUUUUAUUAAUAAUAUCAUCUUUUUUUUCAUAAUCUUAAGCACUAAGGGUGUAUUUGGUGCAUAAGAUUAUGAUAGGAUCAGAUAAAAUAAUAUUAUUUUUAACAUUAGAUUAAAUAAUGUCAUACUAUCUUUUAUUUGAUAUAUGCAAGGAUUAGGAUAUGAUAAUUUAUUUAUUGGUUAAAAUUAUCUCUCUUAAAAAUUUAUAUAAUUUAAAUUAUUAAUGUAAUUUUUAAUGGUAUAAUAGGACAUGUAAGUUCAAUCCCAUGAAUUAAAAAUAAUUCUCUUUACUUUGGGACUGAAUCAUCCUAUACUAAAAGAAUGAUUAAUUUUUUUUACAAUCAUAUUCCUUUCUUUAGAUACAAACCAAGCAUGAUAUAAGAUUAUUAUUAUUAUUAUUAUUAUUAUUAUUAUUAUUAUUAUUAUUAUUAUUGUUAUUAUCCUAUCCUAUCUAUCAUCUUAUACAUCAAACAUGACCUAAACACAUCCAUAAUAUAAGCCUUUAAAGAAAAAUAUUGACCAAUUAAUUUUCCAUGUGUGUGUGUGUGUGUGUGAGUUGUUAGUCUUUUAAUUCUUGAGAUGGAGACCAUUGAUUCCUUAAUUUUAUUGAAAUUUUCUCUUCUUUAAUUAACAAAAAAAUCAAAAUAAAUAGACUUUUUUUAAAAAAUAAAUUAAGUCAAGUUAUAUUCUUAUAAUUUUUUUACUUAUCUUCUCAAGGGACAUUUUGACUAAUACCAACAAAAGAUAUUUGGUACUUGUAAAUAACAAUUAUUUUAUAUUAAAAUAUGUAUAAAAAAUUAUAUUAAAUUAAGAUAUUUGACUGAAUUUGACAUUAUAAAAUGAUAUUAAUUUAAGUAGAAAAAUUUUUAAAAUAGGGUUUGGAUUUAAAUAAUAUUUAAAUUCAUUGUAGUGGUUUUUUAUUUUUAAUAAUUUUAUGUUUAUUUAUUUUAUUUUUAAUAUUUAAAUAUUUGUAAAUUUUAAAUUUUAAAUAAAUAAAUCAUUUGUUAUUUCAUAGACAAUAAAAAAUGCAUAAAUUUAGUUACAUUAAAAGAUUGUAUUUUAAAAGUUAUUUUUUUAUCAAUUCUUUUAAAAAUUGUUUAAAAAACACAAAUUAAGAAAAAAAAAAGGAUGAUUCAUGCGAAUGAAAGUGUGGAUGUUGGUAAGCCGACCCCUAUUAACAACUGGCUGUCGGGGAGAGGUCUCUAUAACCCACUAUACAUGACUUACCACUCUGUUCCCUUCCCCCUCUCUUUCUUAUAAAAUCUCUAAACAGAAUGCCCAUCGUGUUCUUCAUCGAUCAAGAAUAAAAAAAAAUCAUAAACUACUACUAUAGCAUAUUUAUCCAAAAUUCCAAUCUCUCUUUCAUUUUCCUUCAUCUUGCAUUUCCUUAUUUCCUUCUCCUUUUGGUUGCAUUUGUUGUAUUUUUACUCACAAUUCUCUUUUUUUUUACCUAUUUUUAUCAAUAUAUCUCUAUAUAAAUAAAUUAGUAGUUUUUUUUCUGGUUGGUGAGUUUACGUAGGUAGGUGUGAUGUAAAAAAGAUGGGGCUAAUUCACAAAAGGAAGAGUUGAGAUUCAAAUGCUAUUAGCUUUUUGUUCGAAUGCAAGGAUCUGCUGGUGGUAAAAUUGCCUUUUCUCUUUCUUCCUUCAAUUCAAAUUAUUUCAUUUUUUUAAAUUUUUUAAAGAUUAAAGAAAGGAGUUAUAUUUAAUUUAAUAAUCUAUGUUUCGUGCUUGGAUUGGAUUUUGUCAUUGAUAAGGGAAAAAGGCUAAUCAUUUUGUCAAUGCUAAAAGAGAGUCAGAUUAAAAUGUAAUUUUUUUUAGAAUUGCCUUACUGAUUUUUCUUCGUUUCAAGUAUUUGUCUAUUUAAGUUUUCUACAGGUAGAUCUUCUAAUUUGAUCUAAAUUUGCUUUUAUUUGUUAUUCAGGUUCAUUUAUUUAAUUUCUUUCAUUAAAUUAUUAAUCACUUCAGAGAACUCCGGUUACUUUCCAAAAUUGGAAUAAAUAUUUAUUUUUUAAGGGAUAAAAAUUUAGCUAGAAAUGAGUUAAUGCAUUUUAAGGUUCUUUUGGUUACUACUUUGCUAUUGUCUUAUAAGAAUGCCUACCCAUCUCAAUAAUUUUGCAAAGCUUAUAAGUGGGAAUUGAUUUUUUUACUAAUAUUCCCUUUGGCGAUGAUCUUUAUCCCGGUGGAAAAAUGGUUUAUGGGAUAGGCUGGCUAAUGUACUUGUGAAAUAAUAAUAUGCAAAAAUUUUAGAUGUAAGCAUGUUUCACUACAUGGGGUUAGGUUUUUAAUGGCAUUUUUUUUCAUGUUUAGCAGUAUUUAUAAAUGCCAUAAAAAGAUUAGCAGCGUUUGCUAAAAAUGUCGCUAAGAGUGUCGACGAUACCUGCGUUGGAAAAAAUAGCGACUACUAACUUAGUGCCAUUAUAGUAGAAAAUGCCACUAAAUUUAGCAGCGUUUAUAGUAGAAAACACUGCUACAUGUUGGUAUUUAGUGGCAUUUUUAGGCACAAAUGCCAAUAAAUUAUGAAAUUUAUUUUUUAAAAAUUUUCUUUUAAUAUUGAUUAUUAUCAUUAAAUAAAAAAUAUUAAAAGAAAUAAAAAUGAACGUAAAUUUAUAAACUGAAUAUUAUAAAUACAUAAUUUAUUCUAAUAUGGAUGGAACACAAAGUUUAAUACAUUCAAUAACAUUCAAAUUAGAUGAAAGAUUUUUCCUACUUUGGUCACUAGCGUGCUCAAGAACCUAUUGACUUAAUCUUAACUUUUGCAUCCAACUUUUAUCAUUUAGUACUUGGCUACAUUAUCAUACCAAAAUUAUAUAAUUAAAUUAGAUGAAAAUGAACUAUAACAUACUUAAUUAUACUAAGUAUUAAAUCAAAAAUAAUAACAAGAUGAUAUAAGAGAUAACCUAUUACAAUGCAAAAAAAAAAAAAAAAAAACCUAUUAUGUGUCAUGCAUUGAUAUCAUGUUUUUUAAACAAUGUAAAAAAAGAACAGAGAUAACAUCAACAAAAAAUUUAUACAAAUUUUAAUUGAAUAUUCAUACAUUUAGAAACCAACAGUGUAACAGAAGAAGAUUAAGUAUGUGGCAAAUACUUUACCUUGCAAUAUUCACAAAUGACUAUAGAUUUUUUUUUUUUUUGGUUCUUUAUCUUCUAUUGUUGAUGGUUUUCAUGCACAAUAAAUCCUUUCAAGUAAGAUUAAGUCGUUUCAUUAAACACCAUAAUCUGAAAAAAUAAACAAAACAAAUGCCAAGAUGAGAUGAAAAAAAAAACAUAAUAGGCUAUUUCAGAAUGGUUUCCUAAGGAUAUCUUAAAUGAAUUAACAAAUUCAUGUUAACAAGUAACAAUUUUUUAGUAAUUUCAAAAAUAUUCUAAUAAAAAAAAACUAAACCUAAAAUUUCAUUCAUUUUUGUAACUAAAUUCAACGUUCAAUUUCAAGUUUUUUAGAUAAAAACUCUAUUUUUUCACUUUUUAUUCUAUCUUGAAUUUUUCUCACCAACAAAAUAAAACCAAACUCAGAACUGCAAUAAUGAAAUAAAUUGGCAAAAAAAGAAAAAAAAUGGCCAAAUACUAAAAAUUGUCAAUGUUGAAAUGGAGCUUAUCAAUGUUGAAAUGAAGCUUACCAAUGGAGAAAAACACCUUUAAUAAUCCCCCUCAUUUUUUUUUUUUUGGAUUAUUUAAGGUGUUUCUAGCCAAAAGCAUCUUGAAUAAUUUCUUACAAAAAUUAAAUAGGGUUAUUCAAUGCAUUUUUGGUCAAAAAUACCUUCAGUAAUUCUCUUUAAUUUUUUGAAGGGAUUAUUCAAGAUGUUUUUUACCAAAAAAUGCCUUAAAAAACAUUUUUUUUAUUUUUUCUUAAGAUUAUUCAAGGCAUUUUUGGCUAGAAAAUACCUUGAAUAAUCCCCUUACAAAAAAUUGAAUGGGAUUAUUCAAGGCGUUUUCUGGUUAAAAACAUCUUGAAUAAUCCCUUUUUUUAUUUUUUUGGAUUGUUCAAGGCUUUUUCUGUCAAAAACGGUUUCAAUAAUUCCCUUUCACUUUUUGAGAGGAUUAUUUAAGGCGUUUUUUGCUAGAAAACACCUUGAAUAAUCCUUUACAAAAAAUUGAAUAAAGUUAUUCAAGGUGUUUCUGGCCAAAAAUUAGAAGGGAUUAUAAAAAUGCCUUUAAUAAUCUCUUUCAAAAAAUUUUUUGAAUUAUUCAAGGUGUUUUUAGCCAAAAAAUCCCUUGAAUAAUCCCUUAGAAAAAAUUGAUCAGGGUUAUUCAAGGCGUUUUUGAUGAAAAAUGCUUUGAAUAAUCCCAUUCAAUUAAAAGUCAAAGUAUAUAGCAGCAUUUAGGUCAACAAACACCACAAAAAUAUAUUUUUAGUGGUGUUUUAUGAAAAAACGCCACUAACCUUAUAAAAACAUGAAACUUAUGGCAUUUAUUUAAAAGGUCACUAAAAAAUAGUCACUAAAUCUCCAUUUUCAUGUAGUGUUUUUAGAUUUUAAUUAGGGCAAAGGCUUUUUAAAGAAAGUUUGAUGACAUUUUCAUUAUACAUUACUUUCGCAUUUUAUUGUCUUGGUUUGUGCAGUUUCCUCAUUUACUUAUAGGUAUUUCCCCUUUGAUAAUGGGUGCUAGACCCUUACAUGGUUUUUGAAUUCAAAAGUAAAGGAUUUACCCAUUUGGUUUAGUGGUUUUUGCUUUGUAAGUUUGAUGGCCUCCAGCUUAAAUAAGUCAGUAUAAAGAAAGCUUGUAGUCAAAUAUUUUGUUGCCUGAGACCUAUUCCUAGAUUGAAAAGAUCUUUUAUGGGGUGAGACGUAGGGGUGAAUAUGGCUUUGCUUUUCAAAUAUUUAAGGACAUGGAUGAGACACAAAGUGAUGAUGGGCCAGUAGAGCAGGGGCCUUCUAGUGCAACAUGGUGGUCUUCAGAUUUUCUUGAAAACUUUGGUUUUAUUUUUUUAAGUUCUCAUAAAGAGAGUUUGAGUAAUAGGGAAUCACCUAGAAAUUUUGAGUAAGAUGGAUUGUUAUUUAGCAUCACAGAUUUUGUAAAGUAAUGGAAUUUUUUUUAAGCCAAUUCCAAAUGGUUUCUAUUUUGUCAUUCCGAUAAGGAUUGACUUAUCUUGUUUGUGAUUAAUUAUACUAUACUUGCUGCUUAACUAUUUCUAUUCUUUGAUUGAAACUAAGUUUUAUAAGAUAAUGUGUUCUUACUUUCUUCCUUAUCUUUCUCUAUUAUUUCUUCUUAUUUAUAUUGAAUUUGAAUAGUUAUUGUUUUAUAGCUAUUUAAUUUUACCCUUAUUGUUAGUUUGAAAGUGCUUUCUAAUUUUUUUCGCCUUCCUUUUCAAAGAUAAAUACUCAUAUGCAUUUUGUGUCUUUUUUUCAUUUUGAAGCUUAAUUUCAUCUUUAAAACAUUCAUAUGAAUAAUUUUUAUGUCCUUAAUUUAUUUGAAAAAUGGAACUAUUAAAUAUAUUUGAUUUUGUAAGCCAGUUGUAUUGACAGGUGUAUGAGCCUUAUAUAUUUCAACUUUUUUUCUUGUAUUUCCUUUAUAUAUUUGAAGUACUCACAAAGGCAUUCUAUUUUCUUUUCUUUUCUUUUACUCGUUGAAAUAAGAAGAUAAGGAACCUAUGUUUGAUAGCGUUAAGACCAUUAUAGGCAUGGUUAAAGUUUUAGCAAAGUUUCUUACAAUAUUACCUUCAAUGAGAAAAGAAUACGAAAGACUUUACCAAUAGACUAUCUUAAUUAUAUGUAUAUCUAAAGAAAUCUUCACAUUGAUAUUGCUCAUUACAAGGUAUAAGCUAUAAAAAGAGCCCAUGGUAUGCAUUUCUCUAAAGAGUUAGUAAAACUUUUGGCCAAUUUUGCAAAGACUAACUAUCUGUAAUACUUUAAAAUAUAAUUUCUAUUUUUCUACUUAAUAAAUUAUAUACAGAAACUUUGUAAGUGGCUAGUUCAACUCCUUAUAGAACUUGAUUACUUGCAUGCCAACCAUAUUGUUCAUCAUGAUAUCAAGGUCAAUGUUAAUUCUUGGUAAAGAUGAAAAAUUUAAUGUAUGCAAAUUUAGGACUUACAGCAUUUUAAAUUAUAAUUUUAUUUCACUGCUAAUAUAUAUUCUUGAUAAAAGAUCAAGACAUAUGUCUAAUCAGUCCUCUUUUUGUACCUACUUUUCAUGAUUUACUUUGCUGCUCUGUUUACCAUGUGUCAAUUGUCCAUCAUUCUGUAUUUUAAACAUGGUGAGUUGCUAAAAUGUGCACCUAUGUAGGUGACUUUAGUCUUGCUAAGAUGUUGACUUCUAAUGACAUUGCUUCAUCUGUGAGUAUCAAAUUGAUGGUAUGGUUUAUACAGUUUCACGAUUUGUUUUAUUUUAAUACUAUAGUUUCUUCUUGGCUUUAAAUAUACUGGUUAUGAGAACUCUUAGUUAUAUGUGCCCUGAGCUACCUAUUGAUAUGCCUUGUAGUUCUAAGUUAAAUAUUUGGUCUUUAGGUACUUUGCAACUAUUGAGAUUCGAGGAAAAUCUACGUUUGAUCACUGUUUCUUGAGUUUUUUCAAACUUGAUAGGAGAACUCUAUGUGUAAGAACAAAGGAUGUUUAAUGAUUGCAUGUACACAUAGCUGCUUGCUAUCAUUGGUUUAAUGAGCAAAAGUUUUUGUAACAAUAAAUAGUGUUGCUAAUUUUAACUAAAGUUGUCACAAAGAAAUUAAAGCUUUGUGCAACGAGAUGAAUGUAAUUGUGUAAUGUUGUUUUGGUAAAAAUAUUAGUUGUUUUCAAAGUCAAUAAUAUUAUUUCUAAAUCUUUAUUAACUAUUAGUAACAGUAUAAAAGUUGUUGUAAAAAAAAUAUUUGUAUAAAGAAUUUUGGUUGAUAAACAAGAUGAAUGUUGUUGUGCAAGGAUUUUUUUGGCAACUAUAAUAGUCAUUUCUAAAAUUGAUCAAGUCGUUAAUAAAUAUUUAUUUAUUAUUUUUAACGACACAAUUAAUGUUGGGAAAAGAUUAUUUACAACAUUAAUAUUGGUUUUUAAAUAUCCUUAAGUUAUUGUAAAAUUAAACAAAAACAAUAAAAUUGUUGUUUUGUAAGAACUUUUGACAACAAUUUUUGUCCUUUUUAAAUUAAUUAUUGUGGCUAUAAAAUAAUUGUUGCAAAAAAAAUUCACAACCAAAAAUAUUCUACUGCGAAAAAAAUUUAGACAACCAAAAUAAUGUUGUUAUGUAGAAGUUUUUGUAACAAAAUAUGUGGUUGCUAAAUAAAAGUUUUGAAAGCCAUAUCAAGUCAUUUAAAUAUUAUUUAUUUACCAACAACCAAAAGUAGUUGCAAAAUAUAUUUUUUAAAAUGACUUUCAAAAUGAUGAAAUUGUUGUAUAAACUUUUAACAAUGAAGAUACGUGUAAUGACCUUACAUCGACUUUUUUACAUUACGAAAAAAUUUUAAAAAUGAUAAAUUGUCAUUUACCAAUGAUAUUGAGUGAUGCUAAAACUACUUUUUCUAAUAAUGAUAUAUUGUUUGAAAAUUUCUUAACAGGCAAAAAAGGAAGAACUAAAGAACAAACUUGAGGAAAUUCAUUCUAUGGUGAAGUCACUAGUUAUUGUUCCUUCAACAGAGUAGUGUAGAAUAAUGCAACCCACUUAUCUUCCUACCAAUGAGAAUCUUAUGGAGCUUCUCAUUAUGGUUGAUGCUUAUCAAAAGGUUUCUGCUAAGAAUAUUAUUAUCGUCAUUCCCUAUUUUGGCUAUGCCAAGGCUGACAAAAAGGUAAUUCUUCCUAUUUUAGCACAAUUACACAAAAUUAGUAUAUUUGGCUAUAUUAUUUUGCUUGCUUUGAAAACUUACUAUUACUAUCAGAGUCCUUGAUCUAAAGGAUUUCAACUUUAGAUUUUCAGUUCAAUUAUUAUUAAUUCCAUUUCUUGGAGUUGUGAAUUCUAUGUGAUAAAAUUCUCUUCAUUUUGGUUUUAAUUGUAAAUUCUAUGCCUUUUAUUGUUGUUCUAAACAAUGAAAAAUAAUCUAAUUCUAUUUGAUUCAUAUUUAUUUCAAAAAGAGCUAAUUGAAAUAUAAAAUGAAUUUAGUUGAAUUAUUUCCCUUGGAAUUUGGUUAUUCAAAUACAACACAUUGACUUUUUAAAACUUUUAAAAACUCCAUCAUACCAUGAAAUCCCUGGAUAAAGAAAUAUAAAAGAAAUGAUAUCAUUGCCAAGUAUGAAAAUUUAAGAGUCCUAAAUAUGACAAAAGCACAGGUUUAGUUAAUAGCUUUACUCUGUAUAUGCAUUUUUCAUUGGACUCAUAAAUAUUGCUUUAUUGGUUAUAAUCAUCCACUGUUCUUUUAGACUCAAGGGCAUGAAAAAUAUUAUUGCCAAACUCAUAGCAAAUUUUAUUACAAAAGAGGGUGCAAAUUAUGUUCUUGCUUGUGAUCUUCAUUCUGGGUAAUCCAUGGGUUAUUUUGAUAUCCCUGUGGAUCAUGGUUAUGGUUGGUAAUUAACCUAUAUUAUCUAUAUUCCUGUGAUGUUUUAUGUUAACAACACCAUUAAACUCUUAGUUUCAUCUUCCAUUAUAGUUAUAGGCACCUCACUAAAGCUUGCAACUCCCAUAUAAACAUCCUAUAAAGCAUGCUGAUCAUUCUUUAGCAUAUCCUAUGUAUCCAUUUAUCCUAUGCAUCCAUUCUUUCUGGUGUUAAAUGGGAUUGAAUUUGGGGUAUCCAGUUUGAUUCAUGCUAGCAAUGGGGUGCAAAGAUCAUGUUUCAUACAAAUAGAUGGGCUAUCAAAGGAAUAAAAGAAAAUGAUUUCGAAUCCUUACAGAACAAAAGUUAUAAGGAUUAGGAGAAAGCUGGCACGACAGUGAAGCCUUAGUUUGCAAAUAAGUCUUUUUUAGGGGCUUCAACUCAAGUAAAUGCAAGAAAACUAACCAGCUUUGGUGUUGACAUUGAUGUGAAUAAUAAUUAUGAUACCAAAAGUGAUCUAUACAUGUUUUGCACAACAAAUAGCAAAAUGAGUUUUGAUAAGCAUUCAUCAUUGAUUUUAGAUUUUUUUUCCUUAUCAGUUAAUGAUGUUGGGCAUAUUGUCUUCAUAUUAUUGACUAAUGAUGAGAUUGUUUUAACUUAUGAUUUAGAGAUUGAAAAUGUUGUUGAAAAAAGAGUUAAAGAACAGCAAUGUUGUGUCCCUUCAAAGAAUUGUCCUUUCAAAGGUGAGGUUUACUUGAUCCAUGAGAAGGGUAUUCUCAAGGCCUAUUUUUCCAUCUCUAAUCUUACUUGUUUGGUUUUAGCUCUAUAUAUUCUUUUUUAUUUACCUUUCCUUUAAAGAUAAGUGAAAUUUGAAAGAAAAAAAAGAAGUAAAAGAGGCAACCAAUAACUAUCCCUUCAUUUGCUCUUAUUGACUUAUGUACCAUUGUUGUCAUCUAGAUUGCAAUAACUAAUCAAUCCUUUCUUGACUUCUCGAAUCUUGUACUAAAAAAAAAAAAUAGUAAAAGGAAAAAGAAAAAGGUAGAAGUAUUGUGAAGGAAUUAUUUUGCAUGUUGAUUUAUAUUUUAUAAAUCUUAUCAUUUUUUUUAUCCAUUUUCUUUUCCUCCUAUGUUCUCUAAAAAUAUCAUAACUUGUAAUUUAAACCAAAAGGAGGUAAAGGUAAAUCUUCCAACCCUCUCUAAUAAAUAGGAAAAUAACUCUAAGUUUGAUAUGCCUAUGAAGUGUAAUUUUAACAUGACAUGCCUAUAGUAAUUGUUCAUAAGGUGUGAAAUGCAACUUUAACAUGAUAUGCCUAUAGUAACUGUUCUUAGCCUCAAUUUUUUUUCUUUCAUUUUUUUAUGAAAUCCAACUUUAUUCACAAUACUGGAGUAGAGGAUGUACAUUUCACUUGAUUGGAUAUGUUCAAAUUUUUGUUUCAUUUUACUCAUUUAUUUUCCAUUAAAUCAGUCCUUAAGUAAUACCUAUCAAUCUACUAUAGGUAAGCAAGCAAUGGGUAUAUAUGUUACUAACUACCAAUUUUCAAAUGGUAUGUAUGUCUUCCUAUUUACAUGAUUAUAACUUUAUCAUACUUGAGAAAUUUCAAGAUGAUUUAUCCUCCAUGUGGUACUCAAGAUACAUUAGCCUAUGUUCUUUACUAUCCUUAAAGGCCAUUUGUUACUACACAAGCUAUGGAACAUUCCAUUUUUGAGCUAAUACUAUGGUAAGAACUAAGCAUGGCUUCAUUUGUUUGUUGCUUUUUGGCAUUUCAAAAGUUACUAAUAUAAUGUAAAACCAAAUACUAGUAAUUCAAUUUAAAAUAUGCAAAUGGUUCAAAUGUGAAACUAAUUCAAACAUAAUUCUUUUAUUAAAAGAGUAAAUUAUGUGUUUUGUUUUGCAAGGGAUGAAAGUUGAAAUUUUAAUUUUUGAAAAAAUAUUAUUGUUUUUAUAUCUAAAUGCACUUUUAUACUUUUUCUUAAAAAAAAAAAUCAACCAAAUGAGCUCAUAUUAAAUCUAAGCUUGAGUAAUACCAUGGAAAAAAGUAUUGGCAUGGAACAUGGAUUUAAAACCAUUCUUCAGAAUAAUUAUAUUUAAAACACUAAUUAAUUUUAUUUCUAGACCUUUUAUUUAGAAUUGUAAUGCUAAUACGUUUAAAUAUUAAUUUUUUUGCUUUACUCAUUUUAAUAAAUUUUAAAAGAAAUAUUUUGGCAUCCUUAAUAAAGAAAAAAAAUUACAUGUAACAACCAUUCAAAAUGUAAAAAAAUAUAUAAUAAAUUGGAUGAAAUGUUCAUGUUCUUAAGAUAUUAUAAAUAAAAUUUACGUAGCUAAUUUUUUAGAAUUAAGUUCAAAAAUGUUGUUAUAAUAUAUAUAUAUAUUUAAGUUUGAUUUGAUUUAAGUAAAUUAAUUUGGUAAUUUUAAUUCAUUGGAUAUGUAGUACAAUUUGGAAGUUAGAAAUUUCAGAGAAAAUAAUUACAAGAUAUCAUAAAUCAAGAGAUACAAAAAAUAAACCUUACUUGUUACUUGAUAUAAUCUGUCUAUAUAUUGAUAACUUGAUCAUUUAUUUGAAAUUGUGCACAAUUUAAUAGUGAUAAUUCAAUUAAUGUAAGAGUUUAGUGACAAAUGAGAAAUGGAUCGUUACAUGAGUGCAGGCGGAUAUUUUAGCGGAAAUACUCAACCAUUUUUCGUAAUAUUGCCAAAGGACAGAAACAUCAUUUCAAAUAAUGAAUUACAAAUGCAAAUAUCCUAAAUGGAUGUUGUAGGUUUACAUCAAAUUGAAACAAAUUAUGUAUUUAAAAAAAUAAAAAAACGUAAAUUUCCUAAUUCAACGACAUUUAUGCAUACAAAUACUACUAAAUUUAGCGACGUUUAUGUCAAAAAAUAUUGCUAAAUUUAAAGGCAUUUUUCAUAACAAACGCUGCUAAAUUAAUGGUGUUUUUUCUUAAAACGCCAUUAUUUUCCAUGAUUCAAGCAUAGCUGACACUUUUAGCAUUAUUUUUGGCAAAUAUCGUAAAUCAUUUGGCAACAUUUAUAAACACUGCUAAAUGUGAAAAAAAUAUGCCGUUAAAAACCUAUUCCCCUAUAGUGAAGUGAAUCUUAGUUCAAUUAAAUUGAAUCUCUUUCAAGACUCUUCUAUUUGAGACCACAAACAUCUUCAUUCCUUAUUAUGUAGCAUCUUCUAGAAUGGAAAAAAAGAAGAAAAACAAAAAAACUCACAAACCAAAAACUUGGUUGGACUUUAGAUGUACAAACCUUCUAAAAAGACUUGACUUUGCAUGCUUUUGAACCUUUUCUUGUAUCCAUGACUUGGCAUUCUUCUUGGAGAAAAUUAAGAGAUUUUCUUCAACUAAAACUCCUACUUUGCCGCCCAUAAUCAAUGCUCCUUUUAUAUCAUGCAAAAUCAUACUCCAAAUAGAAAUAGAAAUACAAUCCUACUAAGAACAGGAAAUCCAAGUCCAACUGGGAAAAAUCAAGGGUUGUUUAGUCUUUCGUCAUAUAAACAAAAUUGACACCCCAUCAUAUCAUAUAAGCUUCCAAAUAAUCUUUCUUAACCAAUAAGAUUUGCUACUAUAUCAUCCAUUAGUAAUCCCAUGCAUGUGUACUUACAUAAGCUACCAUAGACUUGCAUUCACUUAAAAUUACAAUUAUACCUCUUUUAUUGCCAAACAUGCCUUACUUGUUUCUUGCAUGAAUUUUCUCCAUUUUCCAUCAAGAUUGAGCAAUUUCAACUCCUUUAAAUUUGGCAAAACCAAUCUUGAACAACUUCUAGUUCAAGAUUUCCAAAAAUUCUAAGACAAUAAAAAAUCACCAAGAACAUAUCAAAAAAUUUCAAGAUUCAUUCCAAUGCAUCAAGAAUCAUCCAAGAUUGAUUAAGAAUUAUCAAGAUUCUUCAAGAUUCAAGAAGAUUCAUUCUUUCAUGCAAGAUUUCCUACAAAAUAGAAAAUUAAGCACUUUAGGAGUAAAAAAAAUCAUCAUUUAGCUAAGAACUAACCAAAAACCACUCAAUUAAGCACUAAAAAUAACUAUAUUUUAUGGAGUUAUCACCAAGUUGUCUUGAAAAACCAAAAUACUCCUUACCCUAACUCUUGAAAAGAUAAUUACGUUUCCCUCUUUCUCACUUGAGCAAACUCACCCAAGAAACCAACCUUUUCUUUUCACCCUUUCUCUUAAAGGAAAGAACUUUCUUGCCUAACCAUGAUCGAUAUAGUAUUUUGCUAAACCAGAUCAAGUUUCAAAAAAAAUAGAGGUAAAACUCUAUAAUUAAAGUUUUCAAUAGAUAACCCGAAAACACCUCCAUAAUAUACAAGCAAAUCAAAACCACCAAGCUAUAAACAUCUCAAAUCACUCCAUCUCAUCUUUAUAUACUUGUCUGGCAUACAAUUAUCUAUAGCUAUGACAUUGAUUAAUCUAACUUCAACCAACUUUCCAAUCAUAAAACCAAUCAAUGGAGACAAUUCCAUGUUUCUAUGGCCGUAUUUCCAUUUUUGAUUAGCUUAAACCCAACAGAAAAAAUAACUUGAACUAAUAAUAUUUAAUUAAAAGCACAAACAUUUUAAUGUUGGUGUCAUAAUCAUCUGUUGAUCAUUAAGUCCCAAAAAACCACCUGUUAAUAUUUAGAACUUGAAACUCUAUCUUCAACGUGUUAAGUUUAAACCAUGCUUAACACUAUAUUUGGAUUGAAGGGUGGGGAAGAAAUGAAAAGGAAAAUAAAGGAAAACAAUGGAAAUAGAAAAACUUUUUUUUUAUUUAGAUAAACUUUUAAUUUAAAGAAAAGGAAAGAGGUAGAAACCCAAUAACUUUGGUUUUCCUUACAAUCUUUACUUUUUUAAUACCUUAAUUUAAGAAAAACCAAGGUAAAGAAAGUUGAAAAAAUUUUAUUUUUAUGAAAAGAUUAUUAUAUCUAUAUUUUUAUUAUAACAUUAGAUUUGAUUAUAUAGCCAACACUUUCUACAAAGAUAAUUUCCUUUUAUAAAUAUUUUAUGAGUUUUCAAGUCUUAACAAUAAAACAAGCAAAAUUAUUAUCAGAAUAAAUUAAAAGAUUGAAUUAAACACAAAAUUAAGAGUAAGUCAAUAAUUAGCUAAUAUAUUUUACUGCAUUAAACAUGCUCCAUUUUUUUCAAAAAGAUUUGCUUAUACAAAUUAGGUCGUAUAAUGAUAUAUUUGUAUAUUAUAUGUUACUUUAUUAAAAAAAUUAUAAUUGAAAAAAAAUAUUAUAAUGAAUUAUUUUAUCUCCUUUUCACUAUUUAUCCAAACAAUGGUUGUUAAAAUUUUUUUUUCCUCUCUUUUUUUAAUUUUAACUAUUCAAACAAAAGAUGCAUGUACCAUUUUUUUUCCUUUAAAAAAUUUUUUUUCCUUUUAUUUUUUUUCUUUAUUAAUAUUUAUCCAAAUAUAACGUAAAGCUUAAACAUAGUUGAUACCAAUAUGAAAAAGUAUAAAAUUUGAAUAUACUCUAGAAAAUUUUAAAUUUAUUGAAUCUUUAUUGUAUUUCAUAUAAUGUUUGUACUUAUCCUUACUAAUGUUAGGUUUAAGGCAAGUGAUUAUAUAAAAAUAUAUAUCUAUAUAUCUAUAUAUAUAUAUAUAUAUAAAUAAAGAGAUCAAAACUCAUGAAAAAUUAAGGAUGAAAAAUUUGUAAGUAUUGAAAAUUGAAUCUCAAUUUUAUAAGAAUUCAUUUCUUAAGAAAGAUGGGUGAACUAUUUAGACUAAGUCUUGAAUACAGGGCAAGUGGUUUUUACUUUUUAGCAAGUUUAUCUAUAUUUUUAAAAAUUAAAAAUCUAUAUUUGAAACAUUAUAAAUAUAUCCUAAUAAAAUAUGUGAUAAUCCUCUAAUACCCGGUGUGAGUUUUUUUUUUUUUUUAACAUAUUAUUAUGUAUUAGCAACCAAAUCUAGUCAGUGACAAUAUAAAUCAACAUCACCAGCGAUGAAAUUUGGUCAGGAAUAGAUCCCAUGUCGAAAAUAUUCUCUCUUGAAAGUUGAAACCAGUGGAUGAUUAUAAUUUUUCACAAAGGUAAAAUUCAAUAAAAAAUACUAUCUUUAUUUCGAGCCCAUUGAUAAGUUGUUGUUUCCAAGGUCAGCCUGUAAUGGAGGUAGAGUCCAAAACCCAACUCCCUAGACAAUUAGCAUACAACAAAAUUGUUUGAGCCUUUGGUCCAAAACCAAAUUGGCUUACAAAGUUAAACCUAACGAUCAGAUAUAAACACCCCAAAGUGCAAUCCAUGGAUCCAACAGAGAAGCGGAAACCUGAUGAGGCAGGCUAGCUAGCUAAAGAUAAGUGUGUUAAGACUCAUCUGCAUUAAACAAGUACGAAGAUGAUAGAAAUUUAGAGAACCUCUCAAAAAGGAUAAAAUUUCUGGAAGUCGUCAACCGAUUACAUAAAUUUCUUAGGAAUUAUUCAUGAAUUCCUUAAACAACCAUCAUAAUUAAACAAACCUUUGUAUUUGAGUGAAAAUAGGCGAGCAUGUGGAAAAUCAGUUGAAAACCCUUUCCCCAUGGCCAAAUAUAUAUCACAAGCUUCCCUGCUUCCUCAUUGUAGAUGCGUUCGUUGGUCUGAUGUUUGGAAACUUAUUGGAUGUCAGAUUGGACAGCUAACGUGGCCUGUCACAGAAAUAAAGUCAGGGGACGCUGGAAAUAAUACUACUAAACACUCUCUAAUGUUAAUGGUAAUCCAUUGCCAAGUCAUGCAGUGAAUGCUUUGAAUGGAGACAAAGAACGUAUAAAGAAAAGAGUGAAGGAGAUAAAAAUGCCAUUUAGUUAGUUGUAUGAUGCUCUGUAUGAGGCUAAUAUGGUACAACUAGUGGACCUAUGCAUAUAUCAUGAGAGAUGUGUCCCAAAUCAAAAGUGUAAAUACCACAAUGGGGCUCCAAGUCAUUCUAUUGAAACAUGCAAACAAUUUCAUGAUGAAGUGCAGAAGCUAAUGGAUUCCUACUAGAUCGAAUUGUAUGAAAAAGUAGAAACAUCAAAAAAUACUAAGUGGCUAUGACUAAGAAGUGGGUGCCAAAGUUCAUAACCAUACAUUGUGGUGAGAAGCUAAAAUCAGUCAUGGACAAACUUAUUCCUAACCUAGUGACUUUCAAAGUCUUAAGUCUAUUCCCUUACAAGGAUAAGAAGGUCAUACCAUAGAACUAUGGCUUUAAAGUGACGAUCUAAGGGUAGAAAGAAAUCAUGCCUAAGUCUGAUGCUGCCAACAUAACUGGUGCAGGUGGCAUAACUAGAAGUGAAAGAUGUUAUACUCCAAAGAUGCUAGAGAAAGCAAAGAAAGAGAAAAUGAUGGUGAUGGAAAAAUAGAGUGAACUAGAAUUGAUUCCAAAAAAAGACACCUUAAAGCCAGUGUUUGAUAAAAAAGUGUGUGAGCUAUUGAAGUUGGUAAAGCAUAGUGAAUAUUCUGUGGUUAUGUAAUUGAACAAGAUGCUAGCUAAAAUCUUUUUGUUGUCACUACUGUUAAAUUCAAAACCACACUACAACGCCUUGUUAAGGAUGUUAAAUCAAGCUUAUGUGGCACAUAACGUAUUUAUGGAAUAUGUGAACCAUCUAAUAGGAAACUUAGUGGUACCACACUAUAUAGCCUUUAGUAACGAUGAGAUUCCACCUAUAGGAAAGGGAAGCAUAAAGGCUCUGCACAUCACUGUUAAGUGUAAAUGUCAUACUAUAGCUAAAGUUCUUAUUGAUAAUGGUUCGGCUAUUAAUGUUAUACCCAUGUCUACUUUGGCAAGACUGUCCAUUGAUAUGUUUUAUAUAAAAAGCAAUCAUAUGGUGGUUCGAGCAUUUGAUGGGACUAGACAUGAGAUAUUGAGAAAUAUUAAGAUGCCAAUGCAAAUUAGACCUUGUAUCUUCAAUGUAAAGUUCCAGGUCUUUGAUAUUUUCUCAUCCUAUAGUUGUUUGCUGGGUAAGCUAUGAAUCCACAUGGCAGGUGUUGUUCCCUCCUCCUUAUAUCAAAAGGUCAAAUUCAUUAUAAAGGAUCAACUGGUGAUCAUGAUGGGAGAAGAGGAUUUGUUAGUAACCUGGCCUAUGAAUGCUCUAUAUAUAGAAACGACAGAAGAAUAAUUUGAGUGUUCUUAUCGAUCCUUUGAGUUUAUCGAUACUAUGGAUGAAAGGUCUAAGUUAUACCAAUUGGAUUUUUCUAAGAUCAUGGUUAGUUAGAUGGUUAAUAAAGGUUGGUACCCUAGAGUUAGGCUGGGAAAAAUCUACAAGAGAUAAAAGAACCACCAAUGAUAGUGGAUAACAGUGAAAAGUUAGGCCAAGGUAUGAAGUUGAGAAAUAGGAGGUAAAGAGGAUGCGAGAUAAUGGGAGAGGAGGAAAGAUGGUGAGAAACAUGUCAAUGGUUGUUCCACACUUGCAUGAAACAUUUAGGCCUGGAGGAUAUAUGUACCCAAUAGUGGAGGUAGAUGCUGAAAAGGAAUUAAGCAUGAAAGAAGCUUUUAUUGAGCUAUCCAUCUAGAUGAUAGGUGAAGAAAUCUAAAAAAAAAAGAAGUGUUGGUUCACUCAUGCCCAUCAGACUUUGAAUUAAAGAAUUAGAGUGUCAUCUAGAUGCCCACUAUCCUUGAUACCUCUUUAAUGUAAUUACAACUCCCAAUUGCUUAUGCCUAAAAGCAUUGGCAUGCUCUUUUAUGUAUAGACCUCUUAUUAUCCAUUAUCUUAAUAAAAAAAUAAGAAUAUGUAUUUUAUUCAUUUCUUUUAUUCAAUCUACAAUUUCAUUCCUGUCAAAGCAUAUCAUCAAUACUUCUUAUUUCAUUUAAUUUUAGGUCCUCAAAUGAAUAUGAAAAUAAUCAUGGUAAUAAUCAAGGAUUUAAUUUUGAAAUUCAAUUAAUAUUGAUGAACUCGAUACUGAAGAGGACUUUGAAGAAUAUACUUUACCUUUAUAUCUAAGAAGAUUGAUUGAACAGGAGAAUAAAUCUAUUGAGCCUCAUCAAAAAAUUACUAAGAUAAUCAAUUUAGGGGAUGAUGAGAAUAAGAAGAAGGUUAAGGUUGGCACAUCACUUCCAUUGGCUGAUAAACAAUGGUUAAAUGAUUUGUUUCAAGAAUUUAUAGAUGUGUUUGCCUAGUCUUAUCAAGAUAUGCCUAGUCUUAGCAUUGAGAUAGUAGAAUAUAUACUAUUUUGAAACUUGAAUGUAAGCCUAUUCAACAAAAACUGAGAAGAGUGAAGCCUGAAAUGCUACUGAAGAUCAAAAUAGAGGUAAAAAAGCAAUUUGAUGCAAGUUUUCUACAUGUGACCAAAUAUCCUAAGUGGAUAGCUAAUAUAGCACCUGUCUCGAAAAAGGAUUAAAAGUUAUGAAUGUGCGUGGACUGUCGUGAUCUGAACAAGGCUAGCUUGAAAGAUAAUUAUUUUUACCUCAUAUUGAUACAUUGGUGGAUAAUAUGGCCUGACAUUCAUUUUUUAUUUUUAUGGAUAGAUUCUCUGGUUAUAAUCAAAUAAAGAUGGCCUAGGAUAACAUGAAAAAAACUACCUUAAAAAAUUAUUUGAAAGGGUAAGAGAAUAUUAGCUUAAUCUAAAUCCAUCCAAAUACACAUUUAAAGCCAAGUCAGGGAUAUUGCUGGGUUUUGUAGUUAGUGAAAGGGGAAUGAAGUUAACCCAGACAAGAUAUGAACUAUCCAGAACCUAUCUCUAUUGAGUACGCCAAAAGAAGUUCAAGAUUUUCUAGGCAUAUUGAACUAUAUCUUUAGAUUUAUCUCCUAACUUACCUCCAAAUACAACCCUAUCUUUAAGCUUAUUUGAAAUAAUAAUCUAGGUGAAUGGAAUGGAAAAUGUUAAGAGGGUUUUGAUAAGGUUAAACAAUACUUGUCAAAUCCUCCAGUAUUAAUACCAUCAAUUUCAGAGAGACCAUUAAUCUUAUAUUUGAUCGUACAUGAGAAGUCGAUAGGGUGUGUAUUAGGGCAGUAAGAUGAAUCUGGUAGAAAGGAAAAAGCCAUUUAUUACUUGGGUAAGAAAUUCAUAAAGUAAGAGUUAAAAUAUUCAUCAUUGGAGAAAAUGUGUUACAUAAGAGUCAAAGUAUUCAUCAUUGGAGAAAAUGUGUUACACUUUAGCUUGGAUAGCUAGAGACUUAAGUAGUCUAUGCUUUACCAAACCACUUGACUUAUAGCUAAACUAGACCCAAUCAAGUACAUUUUUAAAAAACAAUAAUUAUCAAUAAGGAUUGCAAGAUGGCAAGUAACACUAUCAAAGUAUAAUAUUGUAUAUGUGACCUAAAACGCAAUCAAAGGAGGUGUUAUUACAAAAUUCCUUAUGAAUCAUGUCGCUGAAAGUUAUGAGCCAAUGAAACUUGAUUUUUUGGAUGAAGAAUCAAUGGCUGUAUCAUAAUUAGAGGAAGAUGAUAAGAUGAGAAGUCUUAGAGAAUGUACUUUGAUAGGGCUAUUAAUGCCUUAGGACAUGGAAUUAGGGCAAUUCUGAUAUCUCCCAAAGGAUGUUAUUAUCCUAUUACAGUAAGAUUAAACUUCAAUUGCACUAAUAAUGUAGCUAAAUAUAAGACUUGUGUUAUGGGUUUACAAGCUUUUUAUGACAAAAAAAUUAAAGUAUUGAAGGUGUUUGGGGAUUCACUUUUGGUUAUUUAACAAUUGAAAGAAGAAUGGGAGACAAGAGAUUAAAAACUUGUCACGUAUCAUAAAUACAUUUCAAAAAUACAAAAGUAGUUUGAAGUAGUCCAGUUUGAACAUUUGCCUUGUGAACAAAAUUAGAUUCUAGAUGCCUUAGCCACUUUGGCUGCGAUGAUUUGGAUUGAUAAUAAUGUUAAGGUAUAACCUAUCAAGAUAAAUGUUAAUGAUAUGCCAGUGUAUUGCACCAAUGUAGAAAAGGAAAGAGAUGGAAAGCCUUAGUAUUAUAACAUUCUACAAUACUUAAGAAAUUAACAUUACUGGAUUAGGCAACAGAGAAUGACAUGAGAGUCUUGAAGAGAUUGACUGUGGGAUUCUUUUUAGAUUGAGAGGUUCUUUAUAAGAGAAGUAGAGAUCGGGUGUUAUUGCAUUAUGUAAGUGCAUCUAAGGCAAAGAAGAUUAUUGAGGAUAUACAUAAUGGGAUAUAUGGAGCACAUGUAAAUGGACACAUGAUGGUAAGACAAAUUAUGAUAACCGAAUACUAUGAUUAACAAUGAAGAGUGACUACAUUGAUUAUGCUAAAAAUGUUACAAAUGCCUAAUUUAUGCCAACAAGAUUAUGCUUUGCCCACUAUUUUAAAUAUUUUGGCACCAUCUUGUCCAUUUUCUAUGUAGGGAAUAGAUGUCAUUGGUUUCAUCACCCCAAAAGCAUCAAACGAGUAUAGAUUCAUUUUUGUGAUGAUUGAUUACUUCAUUAAUGGGUCAAAGUAGCUUUUUUUACAAAUAUGACACAAUUAGUGGUCCGUAAGUUUAUCAAGAAAAAAAUAAUCUACAAAUAUAGACUCUCAAAGAAGAUCAUCUCAAAUAAUACUAAGAACUUCAACAAUAAAAUAAUGUAAAAACUAUGUGCUCAGUUUCAGAUUAAGCACCAUAAUUCAACACCAUACCAUCCAAAGAUGAAUGAGGCAAUAGAAGUUAUGAAAAAAAACAUCAAAAGGAUUAUGGAGAAAAUGAUUGAGGUGUAUAAAGAUUGACAUAAGAAAUUACCUUUUGUUUUGCAUGCUUCUUGAAUGUCAGUAUACAUCUCUAUUGGGGCAAUGCCAUUUUCCUUAGUUUAUGGGAUGGAAGCUAUAUGGCUAGUAGAAGUAGAAAUCCUAUCUUUAAGAGCUUUAAGAGAAGUAGGAUUAGAAAUCCCAUUUUUAAGAGUCAUAAGAGAAGUAGGAUAAAAAAAAGCUAAAUGGAUUAAAAAGUGCUAUAACCAACUGAACUUCAUUGAAGAAAAGAGAUUAACAGUGCUUUGUCACGAUCAACUAUACCAAAAAAGAGUGAUUAGAGCUCAUGAUAAAGGUCUGACCUCGUUAAUUUUAAAAAAAGAGUUAGCAUUAAAAAGAAUUCUCCUGAGUUAGUAUGACAACAAAAGAAAGUGGACACCAAAUUAGGAAAGACCAUAUAUUGUAAAAAGGCCUUUUCAAGAAGAGCAUUGGUCCUAAUGGAGAUGGAUAGAGAUGAUCUUUCCAAUUCUAUAAAUUCUGAUGUUGUGAAGAAGUACUUUGCUUAAAAAAAAAAGAAGUUCAAAUCAAAAACCUGAAAGGGUGAUUUUAACUAAAUAUCUAAGUUGAAAACCUAUAAAGGCAACUUGGAUAAGGAAAAUACAGCAUCAUUUGAAAGUUUGGUAUAUUUUGAAAAGCUCUACAAUGCUGAAAGCAUCAUAUGAUUGAGUUUUUAAAGAAAUCUGAUAUAUGUUAUCUUGAUUAUCUGAUUAUUUUUUUGGGGCAUUAUUAUCCCAAAUAUUUAUCUUUAUAUGCCUUGUCUUAUUGCCAUCAUUUGUAAUCUCUUUCUUCUCCAAAUAAAUGAUAUUCACUUCAUUCCUAUGUAUGCCUCACACCCUUGCCUUUUCUUUUAUAUUUAAAUACUUUGCAAUGAAUAGAAGAAAUGUAUAAUUUGUAUCUUAUAUUUUGAAAUUGGGGUAAUGAUUAAUAAAUGAACAAUGUCAUGCAAGAGUGUAUUACUUUAGGAGAGCUAAAAAAGAUAAGGCCAAAAGAUGAAAUCCUUGAAGUUUGGUGAAGACAUUUGUUUUGAAAUUCCUCUAAAAAACAAAGACUAGUGCCCAUUUUGAAUGGAUUUGAUUUUGUUCCCUUCAAUGAAAAUAUAAAGAGUUUGGGAUGUAAAAGAAAGAGUCCUAAGAACCUUAGUACCAUAAUCAAAAUUUCAUUAGGUGACAUCUACGCAUUGGCAUUAGUUGAUAUCUACAUAAAGCAUGCAUUUUAAUUGAUCAAUGUCAUCAUUCGCAUUAUCAUCUAUCACAUACAAAAUUUUGACUUUGAAUCUGUGAUUUUAAGAACAUUCUCUGCAUGGUGAAACCUUUAUUUUAGAAGAAUUUCUCUUGGAGAUCUCUAAGUAAGGUCUAUAAAGCUUCAUAUAUGAUUAUUGGUUAUAUUCAACCUUAGCUCGAUCCAGGUUAUCUUAGUUUUUUAACUUGUGGUUCCCAAUCACUCAUUUUCGAUCUUAACUCGAUCCAAAUCAUUUUAGCUUUGUGACCUGCAGUUCAAUCUCGAUCACUCAUUUUCAAUUUCGGCUUGAUCUAAAUCAUUUUAGCUUUUCGACUUACGAUUUAAUCUCAGUCACUCAUUUUCAAUCUCCACUAUGUCUAGAUCAUUUUGGUUUUCUAACUUGCGGCUCAAUCUUGGUUACUUGUUUUUUGACCUUGGCUCAAUCUAGGUCAUUUUAGUUUUCUGGCCUACAGUUCAAUCCCGAUCAUUUAUUCUCAGUCUUUUUUAAUCUAUACCAUUUAAUUUUUUAACUCACAACUCAGUCUUGAUCAUUUUCAUUUUUGUAGUUUGGCACACAUUGAUUACUAUUGACUCUAACUCAGUUCAAUCAUUCUCACAUUCUGAUUUAACUUUAGUUUUUGAGCUCAGGUAGUCUUUGCAUCAUUCUUUGUUUCACGUGAAUACGUAAAGAGGGCCAACUUACACACCAUUUUUCUCCAAGGUCUAAUCAUUUUCUCAAUUGUGAAUUUCAUUGAGAUCAUUGGGCCUUUCAAGCUUCAAAUAGUUUUUUAAUUUAGUUGAUAAUCUGGAUUUUGAGCUCAAUAGAGGGCUUUAUUUUGUUUGGAUUUUAAAGCCUAAAUCUUUCUUGGUCUAUUCUAGUGUGGACUACAGCCCAACAAUUAUUUUUGUUCUUAUUUUUCUAUUUGGUCUAUUCUAUAAAUAUUUUUUUUAUAAAAUAAGAAUAAAACAAAAAAGAAAAAGGAAAAUCAAAUCAAAUCUUGGGCCAAUCCUAAAAUCAUGAUCGCCGAAGGUUGGCAUUUAGAAACAAAAUCAUGUGUUAAAACUCUAAAUCAAGUCAUGGGUAAGGGAAUCAAUGAUUAGGGCAUGUGUUAAAACCAAGCUAGGAAUCGUGCAGUAACUAAAAUUUUUUAAAACCUAAGGCAAAUUUGAGGGAUUUGAUUGAAGGAAAUCCCUAAAAUUUUUUGUAAGAAUGAACCCUAUAAAUGAAAUCCUAAAUCAUAGAGGAAGGGGGAGGAAACUUUUUUUGCAUAAAAAAUUUUCUAUUUUUGUUCUUUAUUAGGGUAUUGCCAAAUUUGGGUUUGGUUUAUGUGAAAAUUCAUUUUUGGGUUGGUGUUGAGAAGCUUGAUUCUAUGUGGCUGUUGGUUUUAUUUUGAAAAAAAUUCUAGAAAAACUAGGUUUGUGUUUGAAUAUUUGAGUUUUUCGUUUGAGUUUCCCAACCAAAAAUUGAAGCUUCCUAUGCCUAACUCCAAAUUUUGGCGGAGAUUCCCAGAAUUCGAUGAAGCAGCCAAUCGAAUGUCAUCUACCUUCUAAAGAAAAGGCAAAAAAAAAUACAUAGUAGAAAGAGAGGGUUAGGUCGGUUUGAAAGAAAAAACAAAUUUUUUACUUUAAUAGCAUCCCGAUACGACACCAUUUCAUGUAGCCUAAAACCUGCCUUCAACCUAAAUAUGACUCACACGUCUGCCCGUCUCUGAAUCUGACCCAUUCCACAGGUAAUUCUUUUUCUUUUUUAAUUUAUUUUUUGUUUUUAUUUGUUUUUUUUAGAUUUUUUAUAUAUUGUUAUUAUUAUUAUUAUUAUUAUUAUUAUUAUUAUCAUUUGAUUCAAUAUCUUAAAUUAAACAAUUUCCAUCAUUAUUUAUUAAAUGCCUUUAUAUUAUUCAUUGUUUUGAAAAAUGACUAAAAAAUUGUUUCUAAAAUAAAUUCAUAAAUCCUACCAAAUUAUUGGUAGACUGUUUCAUAAAUUUAAAAUUAUAAAUUCUACCAAACUAUUGGAGAAUUUCAUAAAUCAUUUUUAUAAAAAAUUUUACUAUUAACAAAAUAUUUUGUAUUUUAUCCUACCAAACUAUUAAAGGAUUUGCAACUUAAAUUAAAUCUUAUCAAACUAUUGAAAGAUUUAAUUUAGUUUCUAAAAAUAAAUUUAUCUUACCAAACUAUUGGGAGAUUUACAUCAAAGUAAACCUACCAAACUAUUAGAUAAUUUUACUAAUUAUUUUUUGAAAAAAACAUAUUAAUGAAUCCGAUGACAGAGCUUCUUCAGAGUGAGACACUAAUCUCCAUGACUACUUCUGAGGUGAAAGAAUUAUCUUAAAUUAUUACCAAACUAUUUGAGUAAUUUUAAGAUCAAUUUUUAAUAUUAAAUAUUUUUGGUAAAUCAUAAAUGUGGUUAAGGCUUAGAUAAUUUGAAAUCAAACUGGUACCAUCUUUUGGAUAGGCGUUGUGAGGGUGCUAUAACCUUUCUCAUAUAAAAUCGUACUCCUAAACCUAAAAUCUAGUUUCGUGGACUAAGAUAUAUUAUUUAAAGAUACCUAAGUUUAUUUUUAGACUCCUCUUUAAAUGAAACAGAUUAUGUCAAGUAAUCAAUCGCAUUUAAAUAAAAAAGAUUAAUGACGACUCCUAAAUAUUAUGUCUAGCGGUAUGUCUACAGAUCUAUUCGUAAAUACACUGAGGUGAUCUUAACAUUCAUAGUUUAAAAUCACUUUAUUUAGUUAACAACAAUUAAUUCUUAGAAAUUAAUGAUUACUUUAUUUGGUAUUAUAAAAAAUUAAAUAUUAUUUUAUUUAAAAAUAUAAAAAUAACCAUGCACAUUAUAAUAAUUACAUAAAUUAAUAGUUUUAUGGUUGUUUAAAGAUAAUAAUUUGUAAAAUAUUAAUAAUAUUUUUUAUUUUAUAAUAAAAUAUAAUAAAAUUAUUAAAUUAAUAAAUAUACUUAUUGAUAGAUAAAUUUAUUUUUAUAAUAUAUAUUAUUAAAAAAAUUAUUUAAAAUAGAAAAUGAAACCAAUCUAUCAAAUUUAUAAUAAAAGAAAAAUAAAAAAUUAUAUUAUAUAUAAAAUAUUACAAAAAGUUUUAAAAAACAUAUACAAAUUAUUUUGAACUUGUUGUAAUGAAUAUUAGUUUAAAAAUAUAAAAAUUUAUAAUAUAAAAUAAUUAUAAUUUUAAGAUGCAGUAAAAUUUUAAUUCACAUAUUAAAUAGGUAAAAUUAACUAUUAUUAAUUUUAUAUAUUACUUCACUUUGGUGAUAAAAACUUUUUACUCAUUUGUAUAAGAAUUAGAUCACCCUCUAAGACAAUGAUCUAAUCACUUUCGGUGAUCCAAGAUCAUCGUUACGUUAGAUCACUAAGUGCUUACCAAAUACAGCGAUCAAAUUACUAUGUAUAGAUCGCCAUGAUUUUCAGAGUAAUCACCCCAUACCAAACACUACCUUACUAGUUAAAAAUUUCAGUGUUAAUUAAAUAUUUAUCUUCCAAAGUCAAAUUUUGUCAAGCCUUAACACCAAACACACUUUAUACCAUAUUAAACUUGUUCAAUGUUGUUUAGAAACUUUUGUUUGAUUUACUUGAGCCUAGCCACUGUAAACACAAUUUUUUAAUUAUUAUUAUUAUUAUUAUUAUUAUAUUUUUUUCAUUUUCUUUUUUUUUUUCUCUUUUUUCUUUCUUCUUUCUUUCCUUAUUUCUUUUUCCUUCUUCUUCUUCCUUAUCCAGUUCAAAUCUAGUGCAUUAAAUGCACAAUCCCUAAAGUCCAAAAUCACCGUCGCUAGCUGCUAGCGACGGACUGACAAGCUGCCUAUCACGCGUGGCAACCAUGAAUUUUCAGUUGAAAAAAAUGAGAUUCAAAUCCCAGAAGAUUUAGGAUUUGAAUCCAAAAAGCUCUAUAAAUAGAGCUUGUUAACUACAAAAUAGGAGAGAGGAAAAAAAUUAAAAAAAAAACUGAGAAAAAACUGCAAAAUUUUUUUUUAAAUAAAGCUUUUUGUAAAAAAAAAUUACUGCAAAAACAAAAAAAAGCAAAAACAGUCCUUUGGAACGGGGAACCCAACACCAAAAUACACCUAUACAUAAAAAAGGAAAACAAGAAAAACACACAAAAAAAUUUUAUUUUUUUUGGUUGAAAAUUUGAAGGCCGAUCUGGGUCGUUUUGGAUACUUUCGGGUGAAACCAAGCCCAGAUCUGUGUUUAGAGGACGAGGAGGAUUUUUUGAGGUUUUUUACGAUUUUUCGACCACCAGUGAUAGCGGCCGGUGAUCGACGAACGGCGUCAACGCGACGGUGACGACAACUGGCUGGUCCCCUGAUUUUUUUUUUUGUCCUGAGAGAAAAGGGAAAGUUUUUUUUGUGGGGAGAAAAAGAAAUUAUCGAAAAUUUUUUUUUUUAGUUUUAUAUAAGCGGCCAAAACUCAAAACGACGUCGUUUCACUAAUGCCUAAAACGAAGUCAUUUUAGCCUCUAAAGAUCCACGCGUCGACCUGUGACCCGACCUGGGGUCCGUGCAAUCGACCCGAUUACCCGACUCAUCCUCAGACCCAGAUCGAUUUAGGUGAAUCGAGCCAGACCAUCGUUAAACCGUUGAUACCAGAAUCGAAUCGUCCUUGAACCUCUAGACCGAACCGAGCUGUCGAUCCGACUGGACCCGCAUUGUCCGGUUCAGGUAAAAAAAUUUUUAAAUUUUUUUGUAUAUUAUUUUUAUAAUAUUUAUGCAUACUAAAAUAUUUAAAUUUGUUAGAAUAAUUUUUUAUGUAGUUAAAAUUUCUAUAAUUUUGUUAAUUUUAAAAUAAAAUUUAAAAUAUAAUAAAAUGAAAAUAAUGAAACUUUAUAAUAAUAAUAUUGAUAAAAAAAAAAGAAAAGGAAAUUUUAUCCAAUGAUGGGAUUUAAAGUAUUCCGAGUAGUGAUGCCUAUGAAAUCUCUAGGUGAGAAGAAUUUUUUUUAAAUAUUACCAGUGUAUUGGAGUAUUUAUAAAAAUUUUUCAAUACAAUAAAAAUUUUCUUUUUGUUAACAAUAAAUAAAAAUUAAUAAAUAUAUUAAAAAUAAUAAUAUAAAUAAGAAAAAAGAAAAUUUUAUCCAAUGAUGGGAUUCUAAAAGUAUUUCGAGUAGUGAUGCUUUACGAAAUCCCUAGGUGAGAAAUUUUUUUUUAAAUAUUACCAGUGUAUUGGAAUAUUUAUAGAAAAACUUCAAUACAAUAAAAAUUCUUUUUUUUUUCUUUCUUCAAAAUUAAAAAUUAAAAAAUUAAAAUUUUUGAAAAAGAAUAAAAUGUGUGCAUCAACAUGUUAUUAUUUGCAUUGCAUACAUGACAUAAUUUUUUACGAAAAGUAAAUUCGAACUUCCAAAGAUGAGAUUCUAAGGUAUUCCGAGAAGUGAUACCUAAGAAAAUCUCUAGGUGAGAAAGAGUUCUUUUAAUGUUACCAAUGUACUGGAACAUUUUAAGAAUAAUUUCAAUAAAAAGGUUCUAAUUUAUUUUUCUCGAAUAACAUUUAAAUAUAAAAAUAAUAAAUAAAAAAUAAAAAAAUCAAGAAAAUUAUUUUUCAAAUACUGAAAAUAAGAUUGUUUUUAUCAAAAUCGAAUGAUAACAUGUAGUUAAUUGGUAUCAUUUAAACGGGCGUUCUGGGGGUGUUAAUCAUUUCCCACAUGUAACCGACUCUCGAACCCAGACUAUUGCACAGACCUUAAAAUUAUCUUUUUAAUAAAUUUUAAUUAAUUUUAAGAUUUCAUUAAAAGGAUAUGUUUUAAUGAUGGCCAAUCCCACCUAGCCAAAAAAAGAUUGGUGGCGACUCCAUUUUUUUUUAUUUCAUUUUCAAAUUCGUCAGGCGAACACAAAACCGUUACGACAGCUUGACGACUCCACUAGGGAUAGGAAUUGUUUUUAAGAGUCAUGCCAAAAUUAACUACGUGUUAUCCUCGAAUUUUGAUUUAAAUAGUCCUAAUUGAUUUCUUAGAUUUUUAUUUUUCAUUUUCAACAAAAAAAGUAAAAAAAAAAUCAAACACAAAAAAAGUUCACACACAUUUCUUUUGCUAUGUUUUUUUUUAUACUUUAUUUUCUGUAUAUAUUACUCUUAAUAAAUUAGGAUACAUUUGCACACACAAUGACAUGCUGUACCUCCGCAAUCCCAAGCAAAAUACUUCUACUCAAAUUGAACCAUUUCUGUUCAUAGCCUGUAAUGGAUGAGGAUCGAGGUCCCUUACUAGUCUAGCAUGGAUGAUAGUAAGAAAUAAUUUGAUAACUUUUAGACACGUGUCAAUCCAAACCUAGCAUGUAACAAGCUUAGAAAACCAACCUUAGGUACAGCCUCGUCUACCUUCUUGUAAGAAAUAUCUAAGAAUCAAAGUUGUGUGUAAUAUAAAACAAAACAAAAAAUCUAAAAAAAAAAAUUUGUUUUCAAACCCCAUUUUUACACUAACUCAAUUUUAUUUUUUUUUUACAUAAAUUAUAUCAUACAGUUCGGCAUCGAGAUAUUUGCUCUAUGACAUAUUUCUCCCCAAAAAGUUUUCAUGGAUCCUAUAGAACUUCAGAUUUACUCAUCCUCAGUCAGUAUCCCAUGUGAGCCGUAUAAUGAAGUAUAUGUUUAGUUGAAAGAAGCCUAACUAAAUAAUGAAGAUUGCUUGCCUAUCAACUAUGUGUCAAAGUUACCCGAGAAGGUGCAUUUGGAUCUCACACAGAAUGAUUUAGAAGAUUUAGCUACUAUAUAGGGACAAUUAAAUGAAGAAAAAAAAGAAAGCUUUUGUAAGAAGUAUGGGCAGACUGCAUCCCUCAUUUCAGUAGUGAUCGAUGAACAAUUGAUAAGGACAGCUAUACAGUUUUGGGAUCCAUCCUAUAGAUGUUUUAUUUUUAAUCGAGAAGAUUUGAUGCCAACUAUUGAAGAAUAUUUGAUUUUGCUCAGAAUAAAACUAUAGUGUCCAGAUAAAGUAUUCACCUGAAAGCCAAAAUCAGGUUAUCGUAAAAAGUUGGCCAAGCUUAUGAGGGUUAAAGUGGAAACCAUUGAUUCUUUUAUGAAGCCUAAAGGUGAACAUCUCGGCAUUCAUUGGAACUUCCUCCGAAACUUCGUUCAGGAGCAUUUAAAUGAUGACAAAGGCAUGGCUGUGUUUACUUUAUCAUUGUAUGGCAUGGUAACUUUUCAAAGACUUUGGGUUACAUUGAGAUAACUGUGGUGGAUUUUUUCGAGCAAAUUAAAACCUAAGCAAUUAAUCUUGCACCAGUAGUCUUAGCAAAAACCAUUCGAUCAUUGAAUUUUUGUCGACGAUUCAUAAGAUGUGCACCACUAUUAUAUGUGUGGGUUAGAAGUCAUUCUAAAUGCAGGAAGAGUGCAUUUUCAAAGCCAUAUCUACGAAACAAAGCACCAAUUGAAGAGUUUUGCAAGAGUCAAUGGCAAACAUUGAAGAUUAAAGAAGAGUGGGUCUUUUUUUUUAUGAAGGAUUACCGAUGAUGAAAUUGAAUGGAUGGCACCUUGGAUGCCUUGAGUGCCUUUGUUGUAUUAUGGAGGAAAUGAGCCGUGGAUAUCGUUGUUAGGAUUAUAGGGUAUUGUAAGUUACGCUCCGUUGAUGGUGCUUAGGCAAUUUGGUGUAAAAUAGUUUGUUCCUGCCACUCAUGACUUAGCCCAAGUGGAGUUCAUUUAUGAAGAACUAAAUUCACCAAGAACCUCGAAGUAGUUAAUCUAAGCAUGAAAAAAAACACGAAGAAUGAGAUUGGGGCCUCUCAUCGACAAAGUCACUCAUGAUUACCAGAUUUAAAAAGUAAGACAGCCUAGAGACAUAGUACUCUCUUCUGAUGAUAGCUCACAUCAAUCAGCUAAUCUUUCAACAAAAGUACAAUUAUCAGAAGUUGAGCUUAUGAAGAAAGAAUUAAAAGCUGAAAAAAAUAAAAAGAGAAAAUUUGAGACUUUGUGAGAAGGUGGGACAACUAAGGUAUGAAGCAGAGAUGCAAGGGAGCAAAUUAGAAAAAAUCAUAAAAGAACAAGAUAUGGUUAAUAGUGAUUUGAAAGAUCUACACUAAAAAAAUAAGAGGUUACGAAUCUAAUUCAAAACUGAAAAAGUCACUAAGUCUUACCUUAGUUGGCAACACGAAAUAGAUGGGCUCUAAGAAGAAAUAAACCAAUAGAAAGGUAAAGCUCAAGAAAAGCAAAAGGAGACCACUAGAAUUUUUCAAAAAUGUCAAAAUUGGAAGGGGUUAUACUCUACAACCUCAGCAACAUUGGUGGAAUGCCAAAAAAAAAAGGAAAGGUUGAAAGCCAUGCUUGCAAAAGAGAAACGAAAGCACUUGGAAGUACUAAAUGAAAAACAAUCACUUCAUCAAAUAAUUCAAGGGUUAGAGCUACAACUGCAAGAUCACAAGAACCAUAUUUUAGUAAUGAUAGAUGAGUGGCAUAGAAGGAAAAAGAUUGGAUCUUCACAUGUGAUUCGAAAAGAAAUGCUCACCAUGAUAUGGAAAGUAAAAAGUUUAAGGAGCCAACAGUACAUAAAGCAUGUAACUAGUCAAGUUUGUAAGGCAGUAAAAAAGGCACGAGAGAUGGUUGAAAAGGUAAAAGCAUUAAGAAAAAAAAUCAAUCCUGUAGAAGAAUACGAACAAUGACUAGUAAACUUUCUAGAUGAGAUAAAAUGCCAUUAUGAACAAGUCAAAUGCUUCUAUGGAUAUAAUUCUAAGAUGAUAAAUCCCAUGUAAUCAAAGUUGUAUGGAAUCAAUGAAAAUUUUUAGUAUUGAAAUUUAUCCAGGAGCAAAUAUUUUUUACUUGCAUUCAUGCAUCAUUCGCACCAUCUUCUUUCUAAAAAAAAUUUCAAAAAAAAAAAUAAAAUUUUCGACACAUGGCAUUCUGAUGUUUCUAAAAAUUUUAUGGUAAUAAAGAUUCAAGAAUAGCUCGCCCUUCAAAAAUUUUGACUCAACCCACUCGCCAUUCAUACAACACCAGGACUCAAACAAGAAUUAUGAAACAAGAACAGACCAAUCGAUUUAAGAGAAUCAAGAAAGCUCAAAAAGAACUAAGAGAGGAUCUUAGUACAAUAAUGGAUAUGCUCAGGAAGAUAAAUGGGUGAUUAGCUUUAGUGCUAUUGGGAGAUUGUUACUGUGAGUCCUACAAGCCAAUUGUGAUUGGUUGUAAAAUACAAUUUUGUCAUUUCAUGUAUUACAUGUUUUAUCCAAAUUUUAAGGCAAACCACUUAAGAGACUAUCUCAUCUCUUAACUUACAUAAUUUUUUACAAACUAGUGAAGCCUCUAAUAGGUUGCUAGAUUUAUGUACAAUAAUGAAGAGACUAAUAAAGAUUGGUACAAGAUUAUAAAAGGAUAUGGAAUUAAAGUGCUAUAGACUUGAAAGUUUUUUAAUUUCUUAAUUUGAUGCUCUUGGUUCUCUCUUUAUAUUAGAGUGUGUUAAAAGCUUUCUUUUAUGGUGGAAAGUGAAUUUUAGCUGUUUGGAUGAUUUGAAUGAGAAAUAGACAUUAAAAAUUUAAACUUUUGGCUCAUUAAAUAUUUGUUCUAUUUCAAAAGAUUGAUCUUUUGCUAUAGGAGAUUAAUCUUUUAACUACAAAAUUAAAAAGCUUGACUAUUAGAGAUGUCACAAUGAUUUUGUCCAAAGACUUUAUCACUAAACAAUUUUAAAAACAUAAGGAGUCACACCGAUCUUCUUUUGGUUAGGUGUGACUAACCAUCUAGAAAACUUACCAUUUUAAUAAAACCCUAAAAACAAUUAAGAUUUAUCAAAAAUAUAAUUUUUGGGUCUACAAAAAUAGUUUGAAUUUGAGAGUAUAAUUACAUAUGAGGAAAAUUAGUGCCCUACAGUAUCCAUUAAAAAAAGGUACCAAUUAACUAUGCAUCAUCUAUAUGCCUUGAUAAAAAUGAUUUUAAUUUUAAUAUUUAACAAUAAUUCCCUAAGUUGCUCAUCAAAACUAUUUUAUUGCUUUUUUACCAAUUUUACUUUAUUUCAUCAUCUUUUAUUAAAAAAAAAAGAAUUUUUAUCUUUUUUAUGUUUUUGAAGGGUAAACAAAAACUUUUUUAUAUUGAAACUUUCUUAGCACAUUCUAAUACUUUAGCAAUGUUAUAAGAAAUAUUUUCACCUAAGGAUUUUUUAGGAAUCACAAUUUAGACUUUUUUAGAAUUCUAUCAUCAUAGACUCAAGUUUUUUUCAUUGUGUUCAUGCAUUAUCAUAUGCAACUUUAUUUCUUUUAUAAAAAAAUAUUUUUUAUUCUAAAUUAAAUAAAAGAAAAGCAAUAAGUGAAAAUAUUUUUGUAAUGAAUAUUCCCCUAAAUACUUUAAUAUUUUGGUAGCAUUUUUAAAAAUAAAUUCUCAUCUAGAGAUUUCUAAAAGAUCACUAUUAGGACUUUUUUAAUAUCCCAUCUUCAAAAAAUCUUUACAAUUUUUAAAUUACCAAGAUGAAAUACAAAUUUAUUAAAUCUACCGGUUAAUAUAAUUUUAGAAAUCUUCCAAAUGAAUACUUCAAUAAACAAAUAUAUAACUAAAUAAAAUAAAUAAUUUUUUUUUUAAAAUACCAAAUCAAAUUGGUCAAAAGAUCUACUCAACUGGUCAAAGAUCCAAUCAACACAAAUCAUUGGAAGGGAUCUAGUCAAUGGGCACGUAGGUUGGUUCUAACCUGUCUUUCUUUUUUUUUUAUUUAUUUUCAGCCCCACUAUAAAACCUAAAAAAUUUUAUUUUCUUCAUUUUUUUCACUUUUAUUUUCUCUCUCAAGCUUCAAACAUUCUCUCUUUAAAAAGCCAUUGGUACCAGCUUUUUAAUCCCAGAAUCUAACAAUCAAUUGUCGUCAUUGUUGCUAGUCACCGUCAAUGGUUGUUGCUACUCAGUUUCGGAUUUUCAUUGAAAAAUACCAAAAUGCUCAUUCUUCCUUUGUCUUUAUCUCUUCAUAGUAGUUUUUCCCAAAACUAACUUAACCACUCUGGAUCUAGCCCUAAAAUCAUUGGUUUUAAACUUAAAAAUAUCUUAUUUUCAUCGACCAAACACCUAAUCUUCCUACUAUGUUAUUCUCCUUCCAAAACUUUCGUAUAAUCCAAAACUCCGAUCCUGAAACCCCUUGAAAGUAACCUAACCCGAAACCUUCUUUCCCCUCUGUUUUUUAUAUUUAUUUUCUUGUUUGUUUUUUUGGUUUGAUCGGGUUCCUCACUGACUUGCUUUUUUUCGCUUUUUUUUCUUGGAUGGAGUUUUGGUGGUGGUUCUUUGUUGGCUUUUAGCACCCAACGGUGGUGUUGGGAACUCAUAACGGGUUUAUUUUUGGUCUGGUGGUUGUUGGUAGGAGGUCACAAUGGAGGUAAUGGGUUAAGGGGAUUUUUUGGUAGAGUCUUCUUGCUUGCUAGUGGAUAGUUUUCUAAGUUUAGCUCGAGGUGGCUUGGGGAUAUGGUUCAGAUUUAGUUAUGGCAAUGUUUUAGAGAUUAGGGUGAUUAUUCAAUGGUGAUUGUUUUGGUGUCUUUAGUGAUGGUUGCUUGAGGAGACUUUAGUGAUGGUGGUUCAGCUUAGGAUUCUCUUUUCUAGUAAGAUUUUUGCUGUCAACAUAUGAGAACUUAGGAUUUUUUUCGCGUGUCCCUUUUCCUUCGUAUCUGUAAAUUAGCUAUAUUUGAAGAGCAAUAAUGGAAUCAAAUCUUAAAUUUUUUGGGAUUGAAAAGUUUGAUUGAGGGAUUGCAACUGAUAUUUAGCUGCCUUGGUGGCUAGCCUUAGGAUGGGGAUGGUAAGGUGGGUUGAGUUGCAGUUGGAAAGCUAACAGGGUAAGGGUUGUGUGGGUGACGUGCAUGGCACUUGUUGCAAUUUUUUUAACUCACAUUAUUUAUUUAUUUUUUCUAAUUAAAUUUUGGUUAAUUUUUUUAAUUAGAAAGGAAAAGAAAAUAUAUUCAUUUUAAUGAGUUAUGUGCUUUGUUAAAAUUUGGACUAUAGGCUUUCAAGCCCAAUGACUUUAACUCUAAGUUUUUAGGCUCAAAUGACCCAUGUAAUAAAACUAUUGCAAUCAAGCCUAACAUGACCCAAAUUACUUAAUAAAUUUAAUUGAGAUAAUAAAAAUGGGUCUAAAUUGAAAAUAAAAUUCAAAAUCCAUUCCAGUCAACCUAGAAAAAUUAGGUAUAUACAAUGGUAUCAAUCCUUUUAAAAGGGGACUAACCCUAAAACUAAUCAUUUCUUUGUCAAAUGAUCGAUCAUUUGAGCAAGGGCCUUUUAGCUAAAAAUUCAAAGGAAGCAUUUUAUUUGUUAAAGGAUUGAUCCUUUUCAUAAAAAAGAUCGAUCAUUCAAUAAAAAUCAAAGGAGAAUUCAAUCCUUUGAUGAUGGAAAUCAAUCAUUUUACUUAAUUUUCAAAAUUUUGCCUUUUUUAACCUAGAAAAGGAUUGUCUUUAUCCCAAAACUCAUUUGAAAAAAAUUCAUUCAAAGAAUCAUAUUUUAAAAAGGGACUAAAUCCUAAACGUUAAAGCAAUUUUAAAAUCAUUUGUUUUGAAUCCAAGAAUAAAUGUAUCUUCUUUGCAUUAUCAUCAUAUACUCAUUCUCACCAAAUUAGCUAACACAAAAUCAAUUAACUCACCUUUACCUAGCAAAAAGAAAAAACUUGUUAGAAAAGAAUCAUUAACAUCUUGCAAAAGUUAAUUAGAAAAAUAGUCAAAAAAUCAAUAAAAAAAAAAGCAACUUGAAGAGUAUGGUUAAAAAUUUCACUUUUUAGGAUCAUCAUAAUAUAAGUUAAUCUCUUGUUGAUUUACUUAUUUGUUGUUAAAAUGUAAGUUUAUUUAUGUCAGUAAAAUUUUAGAAAUAUUUAAAAAUAAAUGUUCUUACUAAUUUAAUUGUUUAGCGUAAAAAAAUAUUGAUAAGUUUUUUUUUUAAAAAAUUUUUUUACGUAAGCCACUUACUCACAGCCCCAAAAUAUGCCAUUGAAUUUGGAUGAACACAUUGGCUUAAUGAAAAUUUUGAAAGGUAACAGAUAUUUUUUUUGAACAAACCACUUAUUAAAAAAAAGUAAUAGAUUUGUCCCUAUUUGAAAAUCAUAGACAACUAUUAAAAAGUUACAUAAUGCGUUUUCUCAAAAAAAAAAGAAAGAAAAAAAAGGGGGUGGGGGGGGUGGGGGAGUGGGGGGUUACGUAAUGCGUCAACGAUAUUUAUUUUCCAAAUUUACUCCUAAACAAACAUAUUUUUGCCAAAGUUUCCCUCUGACAAGCUGAUUCGACCUGACCCGUAUUUGUGUUAGGCUCGUAUUUCCUCUCGAACCUCCAGUUCCUUCUCAUGUUUUGCAAAUUCCGAGGCAUCCAUUUGGUUGUUGAUGAUCUUAUUUUGGAACUCUUUUGGUGUUUCCUGAUUUUCAUCGUCACCCUUCAUUGUUUCUCCAAUAUUUUUCACUUCAUGUUCCUUAUUGGAGAUGCUACCAUUGCUUUGAAAGAGAAUAUUUGCAAUCCAAUUGCGAAAUUGCUCAGUGGAUUCCUCAUCUGUGAACACAGAUGAAUCAACUAAUGCAAGAUAACCAAGAUCGAUAUUACUUGAAAUGACAACUAGCUAUUGCGAUGCUUCUUCUUAUACAACUCUUACUGGUAUAUAUGCUAUUAUCGUAACAAUUUAAACAAGUUUGGAAUUGAAAAUGUUACCAAAAUAAAUUUAACGAUUAAUUGUUCACUUUGUUAAAGAUUAUUUUCGAUUGAACAUUUAAGUUUGUUGAUUUUAGACUUGCAAAAUAUAUUUAUAAAAUUGAUUUUGCUACUAUAUUACGAAUCUAUAACAAAAUAUAAAAGGAGUCCAAACUCCAAUUUACUGUACAGGUAUGGAAUGUCUUAAAAAAAUUAGUGGAUAUAUUUGGUGUUUGUUUGUAAUUGGGACAGUUGGCGCUGGUGGAAAAGUUGGAAAUUCUAGGGGUUUGAGCUUUGAGGGUUGUGAACUGUUUGAAAUAGGAAAGAGACCAGAUUGUUUGGGAGAAAGGGGGAGGGAAUUUAGUAAUAGAGGACCGCUACACAAGGGGGGGGGGGGGGGGGGGGGGGGGGGGCUGAACUGAAGGGGUUUGAUUAGAGUAAAAGCGAUUUGAAAGUCGAUGGGGGCAAAGGCGAGGAAAGUGUCGAAGAAAAUAAUAAAGAAGGCGUCUUCUCAAUUUUCACAUUCUGAUUCUAAAACAGCCUCUAUUGAUUUCCUGGUAUAUUUCUUUUUUAGUAUUCAAUUUUUGCCUGUUGAUUUUUCCUUCCUUGCUUUUGUAAUCCCAAACUGGUUUUGAAUGCUGCAUAUAUCUAUGAAAAAGCCAUUGGAAGGCGGUUAAACUCCCUUCAUUUAUAUGCAAGAUCCAUUUAUAUGCAAGAUCGUUACUCCGUGGGUGGAACCGCCGGAGCCGUCGUAAUUGCCUAGGUGGAGCUUUUAGUCUAUGUGGGAGUUAGCUUCAGUACUUAAUUUCUUGCAUGUAAGUUAAAUUCUUAUGUUAUUUUGCUUUUAUUUAUUCAUUAUGAAGCUUUGGUUUUUGUUGGGAACUUAUGGAUUUUUAGGCCACUUUUAAAUAAAACAUGGUCCUGUGGGAGUUCUCGGCGGAGUUUGCGAAAGCGUUGAUUACGCCUAAUGAUACUUUGGGAGAUAUUCUUGUUCCUUUGUUAAAGGUUCGUUCUUUUCUUUUCAACUCCUAAAAACUUUGAUUUUAUUUUUGGGUUCUUUAAAACAUGCCCUUUUUUAUGUGUUUUUUUCAUGGUCCUUGUCCUUGGCAUUACUUUAGUCCUUAUUGAGGCAAUAUGUUAUUUUUAAAGUCUUGACUUUGCUUUUAGCAAUACGUUUAUUAAUUUGAGUGGUAUAAAAGUGUAGAUUUUUACUUAGUAUUUUGAAUUUGGUAGAGCAAUAGUUGGAUGGUUAUAGAAUUUAUCUCUUGAAUUAUGGCUUUCUGCAGUUAAGAAUUUAAUUUCUUCAUGAAGCUAUUGGUAUGAUGGGGCUCUUUGAAAGCUAUAGCUAUUAAUGAAUCCCAACAAAAAGUUGUGUGAGACAUGAAUCAACUUUCUUCUUGGAUUGGGGCUUGAGGGUUUUCAUCUUCUUAUGUCUUUGAUUUCUUAUAUUGGCUUAAUGAAGUUAAAAAGAACAUGCAAAUCAUUAAAAGAAUAAGUUGUCUCCUUUGACAUAUUUAUAAUUCAUUUUCUAACAUGAGAAAAUCUUGAUUUUUAUAUGUAUCAUUGCUUUGAAGAAUGAAACCAGGAGUUAAUACCUCACGGUGGAUGGAGUGUCCAUGAGUUUUAUAUUCUAAUCCAAAGUUUAGCAUACGCGUGAUGGAACACUGAUUCGCUGAAGAGUUGUGCUCAAAAGGUUUGAAGAUGGCUUCAUGUAUGAAAAGCAAAACCCUUAAGUGACCCUAAGGUUGGUACAGUUGUUUAUAUUUGUUUGUGUUUGGAGAAAGGAAUUUUAGGUUGGUACUUUUAAUGUUGAUUGUCCACAUACUUUUUGGCCAAGAAGUAUUUAUCAUUAUAAAAUAUAAUAUACUUAGUAAAAAGAUGGGUGAGAUUGAUUUCUGUAGAAUUUGUUAAUUUCAAUGGCUUGCUGGAAGUUUUUUGUACCAAUUUAGGGCCAACAAAGAAUGAUAUCAAGCCAAAUAUAUUCUGUUUACUCACAUUCUUUUCCAUUAUUGUAUGGAUCCUCUUUAUCAUAUUCAAUUAUGACAUUUGUAAUGAUUAUCUAGAGAUUAAUUUUAAUGGACAGUUUAAAUGAAUUACAUAGGAAGAAAACUACUUCACUAUUUGCUUUAGUGUUUUCAAUAAAUACUAAUUUUCUAGGGUGGAGGUUGAAGUAUACAAUAUAAGUCACUUGAUCUUGGAAUUCAUGCUGUAAUCUUGAAAACACUAAGUGACACUCGCGUUGAGCUAUGAUAAUCAUCAAUAAAUUGUCUUUUAACUCUCCAUUGUAAAUGCUUGAUGUUUCUUUUAUUGAUCUUGACUUUGAUUUCCCAUAUAUAUUAUAUUGUAAUUUUGAGGGCAGCAUCAACUCUAUUCAUGUAAUAUUGGUGGAACUAAAAUUUAUGAUUGCGAAUAUUUCAAAUAAGUCCUGAAUGGCAGAAUUCUUGUAGCUUAGUGUUGGACACUUAGAUGGUUGGACACCUGUUUACUUUACCUGGGACCUGCAUUACAGUUGCAUUUUAUUAACUAAUGAUGCACUAACAUAUUGGUCUAUACAGUUUUUGUUGUACAUUGUCGCUGUCAUUGUCAUGUAUAUGAAGGCUUACUUCUCUUUUAAUUAUCUUUACAUUGAAACAAUUUUUCUAUCAACAUAAGUGAGUAAAUAGCUCUUCUUGACAAUGAUUUUUAGAUCUAAAUGUGCUUUAAUCUUUAUGUUAUGGUAAUAUGCUCAUUAUAAAUAAGUUAAACAGUUUUAAUUAACUUGGAAGAAUUUCAAGAUGAAUCAUACCUUUUGUGCCACUUCCAAUUCUUAUUUUAAUAGGAAUGGGACUCUUACCUUUUUUGAUGGCAACAAAAAAUUUUCGUUGUAUGUUGGCUUUUGCAUGCAUUCAUUUCCUUUGUUUGUACUUAUUUGCAUAAGAAUGUGAUGAGAUUCUAUGGCCCUUAAUGUUGUUCCCAAUGAUGAAGAAAUUAUGGAUGUUAAGGCUACAACAAUUUCCAGCACUACAGUGUAGAUUCCAACUUCUACAAAGAGAUCCAUUGUCAGGUUAGACAUUAUUUUUAUUUUUGUUUUAUGUAUUUUUUUCACUCCUUAUGUUAUAUUUUUUUCGGUGUUAUAGGUUAGAUAACCUCAUUAUGGAAGCGAUUACAAGCUUGAAGGAGCAUGGUGAUUCAAAUAAGACAACUAUUGCGGCAUGUAUAGAGGUAGUGUUUUAUUUGCAGUAUUCAUUGUUUAUAAUUCAAUUUUCUUUUUGUGAUUUAAAGAAAAUAUUGCAUUAGAGAUCUGUAAUAAACUGAGAUAUGAGGAAUAAAUCAGAUUUUAUGAUAUGAGAACUUUAAAAUGGCACAUGAGAAGCUGAGGUCUCUCAACUAAUUUAUUAUAGUUUGAAGCUUAUAGGAGACCUUUUUAGUUUAUUCUUUAAUUGCUAUUGCUAUUCUUGCCCAACAAUGGCGAAGAAGAGAAAAAGAAAGAGCUGUGAGGAAAGACUUGUGUGAACCCAAUGUUUCUGUUUUUAUGUUAUAUUUCAAGUUUGAUUUUGAAGGUGGUAGAAUUGGAGUUACUAAGUGACCAUAAAGUCUGCAUGUCACUCAGCUUUUCCCAUCUCUUUGUUUAGGGCAUUGCUAAUCUUAUUUAUUUUCACCAUGAAACCUGGCCAUUUUGGAUGACACCAGAAAUUUAAUGACACUUGACAUGCCAAAACAAUUAUUUCAUCAAUUUAAUCUGCUCACUAGGAUUUAAAAUGAUGUGAUGUUCCAUCUUAUACUUUGGUGAUGACAGCACCCACUUAGUUUAGCACAUCAGGACAAUGUAAAUAAAUAUAUUUUCUAUGAGUUGUUGGUCUUCUUGUUGUGGAUCUAGCAUUUCUAUAUUUCUGGAAAUAUUUUCCCCCUUAAGGAAAUCACAAUGGCAAUUUUGAUAUGUUAUUAAAAUAUUUUCCAAUAUAUUUCCUUUACCACAUCAAUUACGUUCUUCUAAAAUGCCCUCCAUCCUUAAGGCUUAGCAUUAAGCAGAGUUAUAUUACUCAAUUCCAUAGUGUUCUAUUGUUAUGUGAUGGAAAAUCUUCUACUAUCUUUCAAUUUAAAUAGUAAAACUUCGGUUGUUAACAACAAGGUGUGGUGUCUGUGGGAAGUGGACCAUUGGAUCAACUAUUUGGUGGUGGAAACUCUCAUCAGUUUUUGCUAGGGCAGGUGUUGCAGCCCUCACCAGUGGACUGAUAGCAAUUUUGUUUAUCCCUCAACUUAGUUCACAGAAGAAUAGGUCCUUCCCAUGAGGUAUUUUGUUGUACCUUAUUUUUUGUUUGCCAUGAACAUGAAUAUUAAAUUGUUCAGAUAGCAAGAAUUUGUAUAUAGCUAUUGUUAUUUUAUUGAUCAAUAAAAUCAUUAUGAUCUGAGGUUUUGUUUGCCAAUAUGUUAUUUUAUUUGACAUUUGAAACACUAAAAAGCUAGCUGCAGCUUCAUUUUCAUUGGUUUUCCAACACGUGAUCAUCUAUUCUGUUUUCUGAAUAUAGAUAAAGUUGUUUCUGCUGAUUGAUGCUUUGACUCACGGAUGCCUUGCCUCAUGUUUUCUCUUUUAUCUUUUCUGUGAAAGUGCAAUCAAGACAAUUUAUGUAAUAGCUUAUUGGGGUUCAAUAUUUUUGUUAGCACUAUAAUGCCUCUGAUGCUUCAAAUAAAUGAUGAUAAUGCUCUUUGAUCAAAAUUAUAAAUUUUGCUAGGAUUCACUUAGUUUGUUUCUAAAAAGAAGUUGCAAUUCUCCAAUCUUGAUCACCAUCCCGAUCAAUGUGUCAUGCACCACUUUCAUAUUUGCACAUGCUACUAAUAUGCUUAAAAGGUCAUUGAAUUGUUAUGUCUAUUUUAAAUGAAUUCAAAUGUCAUAUGUCCAAUUGUAAUACUUUGAAAUAUGUAUAUGCGUGUAUGUAUAUUAAUUUUCCAUUACAUUCAUGUACUUAAAUAAAAUUUCAUUUCAUAAUGAAACAUUUAUAUCAUAUUAUUUUUUAAAUUUAAAGCAACAUAGCAAGGGACAACUAAUUUUAAUAAGUAAAUUUUUAAUUCACAUAUUCUUCUUUCUUCUUCGUUUUAUUAAUCUCUCAUUGUUCAGAAAUUUACAUAAUAAAUAAAAUCUUUUGAUGCUAUUGCAGGGGAAUAAGUGAUGAGAAUAAAGCCAUAAAAAAUUCAUAUUAACAUUGCUCAUAAUAAUUUUCUAAAUAUGUUUUUAAUAUUUAUACUAUCUUUUAUUAUGCGAAUUUUUUCAAAGUUAAUUCAAUUUCUUGAUGUUUGAAGGAAUCUUUUAUUAUUGUGUGGUGCAAAUAAAGGUAAGUUUGAUUCAAUUCGAGUGUUAGUGGUUGAUGAGGUAACUAAAAUAUAAUUGCGUUUGCCUUUGUUAAUUAGUUGUUGACUUAUUUAUAAUCCAUUUCUGGUGGGCAGCCACUUUUGCAUUUAAAUUUCCAACAUAGCAUUUCAAGAUGAAUAUUACAAUAGUUUGAAUGGCAUUUUUAUUUUUCAAUGUAUUCUUGAAUUGUAAGUAAUACUUUUUUUUGGGGAAUGCUUCUUAAUUUAUUGGUUGGCAAUGUCUCUUACUCUACAGGGAUAGUCAACUGAUAUUAUUUUCACUUCUACUUGUUGGAUUUUGUCAUAUGAAAAUCCUUCAAUCACAAUAGGCAACAAGGUGGCAAUCAUUUUUCAUUAACAGCUUCUUCUGUUAAACAUGAUGUUGCCAUCUAGAAUUCUUGGCUUUUUAGACAUUUCUGAGAAGUACAUUCCUCCUUGAAUUGAUGAACACACCUCCUUAUAUCUGUUUUCCUUUUUGGAAAUGUGGUUUUAAUAUUUUUUUCUCUCUUGAUGAACUCUGCAUUGCCUUUUUGUAUAAGAAACCCCAUAUUGCUCACUCUAUGUAGGUGAGAGAUGUACUAUAUCUUUUUUUUAUAUAUAUAUACAUAAAUUCUUAAAUUGAUUUUGUUUUGAUUAUUUAUAUUUUAAUAUACUGGUUUUUUUUAUAUAUUUCAAAUUUUCAAAUUUAUUAGAUUGACUUUGUUUUGAUUAUUUAAUUUUUAGUAUAUUAUUUUUUAUAUUUCGAAUUUUCAAUUAUGCUAAAGAAAAAAAAAGAAAAAAACCAUAGGGAAACAGGGCAUCAUACUAGUUUAUGAUGGUUUCAACAGAAGAUAAAUUAUUUGGGGAAGUAGUUAAAUAUUGAGUAUAGAAAAGGGAAUCAAAACCCAAAGUAUAAGAAUGAAAAGGCAACAAGUAGAAAGCAUUGAGGUACGUACCCAGUCUUGGGACAGUGUGGCCUUGGGGGUGCCUGAUGAUGAGAGGAUCAUCGAAGGCCGUAGCCAGCUCCUCCGAAGGCAACCUUAACCAGUCCUUAGCUCCUAUGAAGUGGACUGAUU